rnacentral:lncRNA from 1 species
UUCCUUUUUUUUGGUGGAGAUUUGUUCAUAGAACCAAUUACAACAGAACUAACACUCGGUUGGAUUUGCAUUUUUCUUAGUUUAGUUUUCGAUAAAAGAUUUCCAUAUCGCAUAUUUAUAUUAAAUCAAUAGAUGUAUCAGGCAUGGUAUGUGUCUGUACACCAUUUCUUUCGCUAUAAAACUAUGGUAAAUUAUUGUAUAGUUUCACCCUAUUAAAUUACUUUAUUAUGAUAAAUAAAUAUAGUUUGACACAUAUUUGAAGGGUUUUUCCAAUUUUAUUUCUCCCUUGGAAAAUCAUCUUAAGCAUUUGUUGUGUCCAAAUGGUAGAACAGAUGAAAUUAUAGGUUGAUUAUCUGUCGAUUAGUAGGUAAUCGAACAUUGUCUUAAUAUUAGCCUAUUUAGGUAGUUUACUAUAUUUAGGGGAUUUUACCUUAUUGUUAAUUUUACGAUUCCUUGCUUGUAUAUAUAUGCCCACACUGCUUUCCUAUGAGUCAUCAUGUUUUUCUUUAUCGUUGUUUUUCAUCUCUAUUACUACUUUGAUUUACUUCACUUGAAUGAAAGGUCUUUUAACCUCCAAAAAAUAAAGGAAAAGUUUGUGUACACUCUCCCCUUGGGACCCCGUUUUGUAAAAUUUAGUAAAAAAAAUAUCGUAUUUUUGUUUAGUUGAGUAUUUUCUUUAAUGCAUAGUUAUAAUCUUAGGGUUCAAAACUUGAAAUCAACUUGUGCAUCUCUCGUGGGUAACCUUGUCCAUCAAAAUUGUAGAAACAAGAAUUAAUCACCUUGUGUACUACUUUUUAGUUUAGUAAUUUAUCUACUCUUAAAGUCAACUUUUUUUAUUUAAGAGUAACAAUUAUGAAAAACUUUUCAAUGUGCAAAAGUUGAUUUGUAUUUUUAAAAUCCAAGAGUGUUGUUCUAUUCUCUAAAAGAUACUAAUCAUGAAUCAAUCAUCAACAAAAAAGGGGCAAAAUGGAGAGUGAUGGUCACAACUCAUAACUUAACUUUGCACCACUUUUUAAUAAUUUAAAAGUUACAAUCCACCAAAAGAUCUUCCCCCUCAAAAGAACAACAGCAUUAUUCAUAACUCACACAGUUUUUUAAUAAUUUAAUUUCUUUGGUUGCUAAUAGCCUGUUGUGUAAAAGUAUUUCUGAUAAAAUAUCAUGAUCAUGUUGGAAUAGGAAAUAAACCAGCAUAUGAUGUUUAACCAAAGUGCAAUCAGAUUAACACUCAAAAAGCUCAACUAAGUCAUAUCAGUGAGAUAACAUAUGGUUAGUGGAGUAAUUACAUAGUGAAAGUUCAUCCAAUAGGAGACAAAUCCACAAAUAAGGUUAGCAUUAAUAUAAAGAAUUUUUACCACAAGCCACUGAUUAUCCUGAUAUGUCCUCUAUUAUUCCUUUGCCAUCCAUGGCAUCAAACAAGAAAAAGUUUUUAAGAGGAUCACCUUUUCCAGAUAUUGCUUUUAUAACCUCCUAUAAGGAUAAAAAUAAAAGGAACACAUAAGCGAAAAAGUCGAGAGGUGCCAAUAGUAUUUUUGAACAAGACAGCAGCAUAAUCACCUGUCCAAGGACUCCUCCUAUAAUGGCACAAACUGAAGGAAAUUCAACUCUAGCUGCUAACAACCUUUGCAGGAGAGGAACCGGGAUCUGAGAUUCAUUUAUGCACUGCAAAUCAAGAGGCAGUUUCGUCAAGGACUUGCAGGUGAUGCAUUACAUUAAUAUAUUUGUGCAUUUCGAACUCUGGAAUAUACCUGUGCCUCACAAAGUUCCUUCCUCAAUUUCAGAACAUUUGGAAGGUCAUCUCCGGAAGUAUCUUGAGGAUUUUGCUUUUCAAGCACUUCAAACCUCUCUAGAACUGCAAAGAAUUACCAGUCCACAAGUCAAGGACAAGACACUUGAGUAAAUUUACUGUUGCACUUAAGGUAUGCAUCAAAAUGUAAAUUAGUGGGCUUCCUAUAACAUUGUCACCAUAAUAAUUUCAGCAAAACCAACACCAAGAUGGCUACUUAAAUUAUUUUUGGGGUCCAGGCUACCGAAAAAUGGAAUAUUACCUAGAUUGUUACCACUAACUAUAAUCACCACAGAUAAUAUAAUUUUGUAAUUUCAGAAGGCCACAUCUAUCAUAUGUGUGGAAGAACAUAAAAAUCAUAAUUCUGGAAAGCACCCCGUCAUAUUCUCAUUGGUAAUUGAUGCCUUUUGCAGCAAGCUAUUGGAAUUUGAACACCAGAAAUAGGCAGUUAUCUUGUAAUAUGAGCUUGUAGAUUAGAAGAAUGGUGGUUGCGGGAAGGGGGAGACCAGGAAAUAGUGCUGGAUCCUCUCUAAAAGUGAGCGCAUUGGUUCAUGUUCUACAUUCCUAAUAUCAAAGUCGAAGCAAAGAUCCAGAGAACUUAGACAUGUCACAUAGCGAUUGGUUUGACUGCAACCCACUGAUCUCUCCUGUUCUUGUAACUAUAUAGCUGGAAAUUCACAUCGACAUUCACACACCAGAUAGCAAAAGUGGAUUUAUAGAGCAUCUUUAAAUCUGCAUAAGAAAUUACAACAACCUGAGAAAUAGAGUACCUCUCAUGGCAAAAUAUAGCUUUGACAUUCUCUUGGGUAGAGAUCUCCACGGGACUGCAAUGGCUUCCUGCAGAAGUGUAGGUAAGGCAAUCGCCAUUUGAAAUGAAAAUCUGAUGAAAUACUCUGGAACAGAGAAACCUUAUUAACUUCAGGUUAAACCAUCACGAUUUAGUAAAUCCCGGAAAGACCAGCUAUAUGUUUGUUUUUUUCAAGCCUUCUUAUCUAAUUUUGAAUGCUAAAGGGGAUUACAAGAAUAUUUAGCAUAUGUUACACUGUUGCCUCUCCUUAUAGAAUAUUAUGCCUUUAAACGUGUACCUGUUCCAAGGAAUUCCAAACAAAAUGGUCUAUUAUUUUUUUUGGGACUGUGAAAUCCCUUAAGGUUUUAAAUCUAAAUGCAAUCAUUAUGUCUUCAGUGAUGCCUGAACUGGUGUUGCAGGACUUCAUCAUGCUGAUACUGGACAUUGUUACAUGCUAAGGUGGAUUAUUUGAUGUCUGGUGAUGGUUGUGAAGAAAAUGGAAGUGAUGAAACACAAUGCACCUAAGAACCCUACCAAGCAGGUGUUGAGGUGUUAACCAAGGGAACUAAUAAUGCAAAUUGCAAGGAUGUUGUCUCUAGGUCGAAUCAAUUCUUUCCUUGAACUACUAUAUAUAGGCAGAUCGUUAGGAGGCUCUUGUUACUUCGAAAUGAGAAGGUUACACUCACCAAAAACUUUGCCCAACUCUACAGAGUGUAGACAAUCACAUAGGCAGCUAAGUGUUGCCAUUUAAAAGCUGCCAGAUACUGGUGACAAGCUUCAAAGCUACCACAUAUAUGUUAGGAUGUUAAGCAGAUGAAUAUCAUCCAUCAGACUUUGAAUAGUGCCAAAACAAGGUACUUAAAGAAAAAAUCAAAAAGCUGUGCUGCCACAAAUUGAAUGGGAAAUUCAUGUUUGAAAACAUCACAGACGUUAGGCAAUGAUAUAAACCACCAUGCAGCUGGACUGAAGCAAAUUGAUCUGUUUAGAAACAACAUACAGAGAUCCAUACGGUUUCAGCUAUAAAAUAUGAAACAAUAAGUGACAGCUGCAAUCACCUAUUAUUCAUAAGCAUACAUAUGAUAUCCACUAAGCAGAUAUGUUGUCAUUAACUUAGGUGGAAAACCAGCCAUAGGGAUGAUGACUUCGACUUAUCUGAUAUUUGCUGAGACUGCUAUCUUAAAAAUAAAAAUACAGAUAAGAGUAUAAUCUCAUCGAUACAGUUGAGUAAAACAGCACAGCAGCUAAACAGGACCAAAUGUUCUUUUUUGAUACUUUGAUGCAGCAUACCUCAAAACUCGGAUACUGUAGUUGGCAUUCAAUUGUUUCUUCAUUCUUUUUCUGCAGAAGCAUAAGAAGGGAUUUAAGAGAUUCAUCAGAUCUAGCAAUAUGAUACACAAGAUAUAGGCCCUCAAGAUAAAAGGUACACCUAUGUGUGGAAAGGACUAGAUUGAACUGAAGAAAAGGGUCAAAAGAAGAUAACUCAAGCUGUAUAAUCAUUAAACAUGGAGACACUCUAUCUAAGGAUGAAAUCCAACUGAAAAAGAAGGGGACUAUAAAAAAUAUAAAUAUUGUUGUAACCUUGGAGUAGCUCUGCAAGUCAACAAAUAUCUCACCGCAGGAAUCUCGGCAUUCUACAGAAUAAAAUGCGACACGUCUUGGCAACUUGCGACACUUUGCAUUAACCGAUUUCUGCAUAGGGAGCAUUAUCAAAAUUAAAAUCAUAAAAAAAACUGGUAUUUUCAUUGGAAAAAUCCUCUUAUUUAUUUUCAACAAGCAAGAAGAAUGUCCAUACUUUUGUCAGCAGCGAGCAGCAACUGAUGACAACAGCAUCAAACUUCUGAAAGAAUUCAACAUCGAAGUUGGCCAGAACACCUAAAAAUAGAGCAUAUGAGACAUAAAAAUGAAAUCUUUGAUGCAUUGACACAAUCUGAUUCUGAGAAAUAGAUAUAAGGUGCUUAACAUGCACCUGACACUGCAUAUCAUCAAAACCCAAUAGAGAUAUAGCUAAGAACUCGAGUCGGAAGUGAAAUGUUAGGAACUUUCUUAAUGCACCUUUUUAUAUGAUUUGAGAGUAUAAAAAGAGUUAACUAUCUGAUAAGCAUAAUAUGCAUAACAGUUAUAUGUGUUAGGAAAAAACAAAAAUAAGUGGAAAAUUAAGCCAACUUACGAAAUCAUUACAAGAUCAAAGAACGACAAAAAGCGGAAAUGCACUGGUGUUUGAUGAGUUAAGAGGAACUAUGCAGGUUAAAGAGUUUGUAAAUAAAUUAUAGUACAAACAGAUCCAAACCUUUUUCAACAGAAACAGUAACCAUGGGGUUGAAAUCUUUCAGUGAUUCACAACAAAGCUCAGCAAGUGAUUUCCCACUGGUCACAUUUUCAUCAGAAGGAACUAAAAAAUUAGCAGACAGUAGCUCUUCUGUUACAAGUCGAUCAUCAUUUAGCGUCAAACUACCGACUCCGGCUAAGACAAUGUUCUUGCAGAACUGGGAAAGAAAAAGGAGAAAAAAGAAGUUAAUAUAAUCUGAAGUUGCUCAUUUUGAAUUUAGCAUCUGGAACUGAAAAUAUUAUAUUGAAACUUAUCCUAUCAAAGGGCCAAGAAGCAUGAUGUAUACAGUUUAUGCUUUGGACAUAAUCCAAUUCCAUCAAUAACAAACGACAGAAAAGUUCUAUUGAUAAAUAAACAUAAUAACAAAUAUGGCAAUAAACAUUUACUUCAAAAAGUGAUUAACUGGUAGUUUUGUACCUCAAUAACAGUCCCUUUCAGUCCACUGACAAAUAUAUGAGAUUUGCUCAACCUGACACAAAUAAGAAGAUAGUAGAAUCUUUUAUAAAAAUGAAAGAACUAGAUGGGUCUACUAGAUAUCUAACUAAAAUAUUGUAUAUGUCAUUCCCUUGAAGUUAGAAUACUGCUUUUAAAAGUAAAAGUAAGUCAUAGGAUGAGCACACAUUCCAUUUUCCCUUCAAGUGAACCACAGGACAUGGAUGUCCCUCUUCCUUCAUAACAAAAAAAUUACUUGCCAUAAGCACAUGAAAACCCUGGUUCCACUAUUGAUACUAAGGACACCAAGCUCAUACACAUGUAUGUAAAGUAAACAUCUAUCCUCAACAACAAUGUGUUUGUGAUGCAUUAUCAUACUGGUUGCCUGUGUAAAAUCACAAAAAUGAGUGAAGAAGAAUACCUUCGCUGAGCAUCAACACCCCAAACCCUAAUUUGGCGAUCAUAUAUGGCAGUUUCUUGCUCUGUCAAUUCCUCACCUACUUUUCCCAUUGCAACCUAUAAUUUCAGCAAAAAAAAACAUACUAAGUGAAGAAACAAACACAAUAUCCACAAACUUAUAGCUCAAUUCUCAGUUCAUCUUUGUCCAUCUUCCUCGAAGCUCCUACUGAAAUUGAACUAAGCAAACAAACUAAAUCUCUUAAAAAAAGCAAUUUUUUGGUGCAUUAAUCAAAGCAAUUUAUAAGCAAAACAAAGAGAAGAAGUGAAAGAACAGGCAAAGGAGAGAGCUUACACUGUGAGAGAAACCGAGGAAAAAAAUUGUUUAUCAGACGAGAACUAAGCAUCAAUUGUUUCCUUUUUCUUCUUUUUUGAAUUGCAAUUAGUUCGAUCAAACUUAUAUAGUUGCUUAUGAAGCAUAGUUUUUUAAAAAUAAUUUUCUAGAAACUAAGAUAAAUAGAAAGUAUAAGGAUAUUAUUUAACACUUUGUUUAAAUAGUUAAAUGUGAUAAAUUAUAUUUUAAUUUGUGCAGGACUUCUAUAGUUUCAGUAAACAAAUUUUCACAAGUGGAUGAACACAUUUUUUUUUAUUUGUACAUAUCAUAAUAUUUUUUGCAAGUUCGUUAUUAUGGAACGAAAUGUAUCGUGUUUAAAGCUUGAUAACUUCAUGUUCACAUAUGAAAGUGUGGUGUUGUGAAGAUCUAACAUUCAGAGCUUACGCCUAAUUUUUAGUAUGAUUUGUUAGUUUAAAUUUAUUUUUUAAAACUUAAAUUCAUGUGAUAAAUCGAUCAAUUGACGAGAACCAAGGGCUUCGAUUUUCCAGAAUCACAUUUGAUUAGACUAAAGAACUUCAAAUUUUCUCACACUCUUCUUUACUACCAUUUCACAUGUUUGUAAAAUAUAUAGUAACAGCCAUUGACUUUGCACGUUUAAUUAUUUGAGCAGGUUGCCCUUCAUCUGCAUAUUAAUAACAGAACGGAAUAUGAUUUGGUGUAAACAUCAGCUACGAGUAAGUAUUUUAACUAUAAGUCCUGUGAAGUAAUUUCUUCAAUCAUACUUAUGGGACUGGAUGUAGAAUAUCUGCAAAAUGAACCUUUUUUCACUGGGAAAAAAUGUGAACACUAGAGUGUGAGACAUAUUACUGUUGAUUGAUUGGGAGAAGGUGAUUAAGCAAGAGCAUAUGGUGCCAUUGUCUUAAUGCUGAUUUGGACCACUGUGCUGCAUUUUUCUCCUAGCAAUGUAACCUCGGAGCCAAGGAGUAACAUCCUCGUUGAUCUUGAUCAUGAAGAAGAAGAUUACGCGGUAGAUGAUUAUCAAGGAGAAGAUGGCACUUAGAUCCACCCAUUUUGAUCUGUUCACGUCAAUCUGGAAUAUCUGUUUUAGCGCGUAUUCACCUGUGAUCUUGGGAGGAUGAGGACUAUGGUUAUCAAAUAUCAACCCCUUCAAGUCAUUUUUGUAUUGCCCCUACAGAAACCACCAAAUUAGAGUCAAAAUAAGACUGGACAGAUCUCAACAGAUUUUCCAUCAAAGGACUACUACAUCUACAUCCUCAUAAAAGCACGGAAUUGGUCUGAACAUGCCAAGUUGGUGCCUAUAAAGCAUGUAGUUUCGUAUUUAUAACUUGUAUAUGAUAAAAUCAUUUAUGAAAUUAGUGCAUUACGUUAACUGCUAAGGCUACUACUGAUUCUACUUAUUAUGGACUGUUACGUGUAAUUAUCAUUAGGCUCGGGUGAUCUAAACAUUUCCAUUGUGAGUUACCAACAGGUAAAAUGUGCAGCAAAUUUUUACCUGUACAGCCCAGAAAUCAAAAGUCAAGUAAGACACCGGGUAACGCCAGACAGGUUUUGGUAUGUCAUAGGGGAGUCUGAAGAACCCAGAGACCAGCAUAGAUAUUCCCUAACACAGAAACAUACACAAUUUAGGUGUAGACAAUGGUAAGGAUUAUAAUUUUGCAUUCCAACAUAAGCAAAAGUUCGUAGUCUAAUAAAACGGAAACAGAUUAAGUUUACUACCAGAAUGCCAGCUCCUAUGAUGAUACCCAUGAGGAAAUUAGGUACAACACUAGCUAUGACCAUCAUCAGGCUCUCAACUGCCGUAAUGCUGGCAUAAAUGGCCAAUACAAAGAAGAAAUAGUGGGAGAAUCCUGGAUGGAAGUGGACCAUGAAGUAGCAGACAGUACCAGAAAGAAUUGCAAUCAAUAUAAGGAACGGCAUUGCAGAUAACGUGUUGCUUAUCACAAACACAAUGACACCAUAAUGCCCAUUCAUCCUUUCCCUUUGGAAAACCUGUUUUGAUUGACCAAAUCAUUAGAUUUGUGUGGCAAUGUAUCAAUUAUAUAAGAUAAGGUAGAUGUUUCUAGAGUACUGUCAUAUAAAGAACGAACUUUCAUAUCCUCCACGAAUGAAGGGAAACCUCCUAUUGACAUGAAUGUCAUAAAUCCAAAGACGAAAGAAGAACAUGCAGCUCUUGCCUGCAUAAUGUUAAUUUGAUAAGUAAAUAAAAAAAAAGCGCGUCUUCUUGUAGGAGACAUUAAUUACAAAGGAAUCAAGUUGUAAAAAUCCCAUUAGGAGAAAUAAGUUACCUGGAUGGAAUUAUACUUGGUUCCCACAUUAAAAUAGAUGGUUCCAAGACAAACGGAAACCACUAAGUAGAUCACAAUCCUCAGCCAGUAAUAGCCAAAGUCCCUAGACAUAUUAACAAACGAACGUUUGGUUAAGCUGUAGGACUGCAUAAAGAAACUAGCAUGGCUUCCGUUAGAAUCUAGCACUGUUCCUUUCUGUUACAAAAAAAAGAAAAGAAAAGAAAGAUUACAUUUGAUGAGAUAAGAAAUUAGGCAGAUGAUGAAGAAACCAAGAUCAAGGUUUGGUGCAUUAAAACUUACAACUUUGGACAUUUCUUCCACUGUUUCAUUUGCUACAUAGCAGUACUGAGAAUGACGAUAGAAGUCAACAAGACUUCGAAUUACUUCUGCUGUUGUCAUCUUGUUUAGAGGAUCAUCAUUGUACUGAUUAAACUUAUUAAAAUAAGAACAGAAUGAGUUAAAUGAAGGAACUUGAAGAUCUUAUAUCCUAAGCCAUGCUAAAUACAACGGUAAUAUAUAGAAAUUCAUGUUACUGUUGCUUAAAGAAACUACUACAGAAAGCGGAGACUUAAAUGGAGUAGUGACUAUUUUAUUGCACUUAUCAAAACAAACAACAUAUUACACAUGGUCUGAUCUAAUGCAAACUUUUGGAGCUUGAUUAGUAACAAGAUGAUCUAAAAAGACAUACUUUGAUCAACUCCCUUAAAGUGGCCUUAACUUUGUCGAAAUCAGAGUUACUGCACCGAAGGAAAUGAUCUGAUGGACUUCUAAAAGAAGGACAAGGAAAUCCUGCUUCGGCAAAGAACUGCAAACCAAAAACUAGAUUUAACUCUAACUACCACAUGAUGAAAAAGGUAUAAAAUCCAGAAACAAAUGAUGGAGAAUCUCGAUUAAGGGAGAUUUAUCUUGCCUGAUUUGCUUCAGAAGCUUGACCAAAGUAAACUGUUUUGCCUCCGGAAAGCAAGUAUAAUCUGUCAAACAGCUCAAAUACUUCAGAGCUUGGCUGGUGAAUUGAGGCUAUCACAGUCCGUCCAUCUCUGGAAAGACAAUGCAGUGCCUGUGUUACGAAGAACGCUGAGGCACUGUCACAAAAUACAGAAAAUUUAAGGUAUUGUUCAUCAAUACUGUGAAAUUAACAUUGUAAAAUAAGUGAUCUAUUAGUAAGAACAUUAUCUACCUAUCUAGUCCACUUGUUGGUUCAUCAAGGAAGAGCAAUCUAGGCCUCAUUAGAAUCGCAAGCGCAAUACUAACCCUCCUCUUUUCUCCCCCACUAAUACCGCGCAAGUGCCAAUUACCAAUAAACGUAUCAGCACAAUCUUGUAAGCCCAUUUGAGUAAUGGUGCUCUCAACUAGUGUCCUUUUUUUCGAUAAUGGCAUCCUAUCAGGGAGACGCAAUUGAGCUGAAUAGUAAAUAGUCUCCCGAACCGUUAGUGUUCCAAUCAACGUAUCAUCUUGUGUUACAUAUGCCUGUAUUGUAAAUCAAUUAAAAUAACCUCACAAAAUUCACCCAGAAUAAGAAAGAUACUGACAGGAUAACACUUGUGUCUCACAAACUAUUGCCUUAGGACUACUUACUGCAGUUCCAAAUGAGAGCUUAGCUUUGCGACCGUUGAGGAGAAUUUUUCCAGUGAGGAUAGCGUUAGAACCAAGACGUCCAGAUAGGGCGUCGAGCAGCGUAGAUUUACCAGCACCAGAAGGACCCAUUAAUGCAGUGAAUGUUCCAGGCUCUGCAUAACCAGUAAGUCCUUCUAAUACAUUUCUUGUAUCUCCAUUAUUCAGAGUGACCAUUACAUUAACAUCCUUCCAAGCCACAUGAGCAGAUACCACUAUACCAUUGGCGUUUUGUGGUUCACUUUCUUCUUCAAUCUCCAUAAUUGCAGAGGAGGACGAGAACGACGACGACGACAACGAGUUCCUCAUCAUCUAUAUACAAUUAAUUUCUCUCUUUGGUUAUUUAAUCAGUUGUCUUCUUCUUGAAAUGCAUCUUACUUGUAUUACUUCUGAUGUUUAUAAAGUUUGUUUGAAAAAAAGAACUAGUUAGCUGGUCAGCUCUAUACUGGAGUAAUAAAUCUAGCAGGUCCCAAAUAAGUGUUGUUUCAACCAAAAAAUAAAUAAAUAGUGAAAUUGUUUGCAAGAGUAGAGGUAAAUCACAUUAUAUUUGUAGUGGAAUCAGGGAUAUACAUGCCUUAAUAUAUCUUAAUUUUAGGAAUCGUAUAAAAUCAUCCAAAUUGACUGCAACUGUUGACAUAUAUAUUCCGUAGUAAAGGAAACUAAAAUUUCUAUUUUCCCUUGUUAAAACUGGUAUUAUAUGUAUGAGGUCCAGCCCCUAUCUUCACUUUUCUUUUGGCUGUGAUUUGCACAGAUUGCACUAGCACACAUUCGUUGAAAACUGGCAAUCACUCAAUUAAUACAAGGGAGAAAUAUUGGCACAUUUCAUCAUGUACACCAACACACAAAGGGAAGUAUUAGAGAACUGAGUGAGGUAUAUCAUAGACUAACUAUAAAAAUAAAAUAAAAUAGUGUGAGUGAUAUUUUUAGCGAGACGAGAAAUCAAAAGAGGUUUUCUUUUUUGAGUGUGUAGUGGUAUUUGUAGUAUUUUACUCAAAGCCUACAAAGUGUAAAAUUCUUUCUAUACAGAAUGUGUAAAUGCAACUUUAUGUGUGACUUAUUAGAAGAAGAAUAAACAAAUGAUGGCUUCUAUUUAAAUACUUUGUUUUCUAAUUUGAUUGAUUCAUUUUGAUCUUGUUAUUUGGUUCAUGAUUCUCAGAUCCUUGGAGAAGGCGAUUAAGCAAGAGCGUAUUGUGUCAUUGUCUUAUUCUGAUUUGCACCAUUCUGCUGCAUUUUUCUUCUAGCAAUGUAGCCUCGGAGCCAAGGAGUAACAUCCUCGUUGAUCUUGAUCAUGAUGAAGAAGAUUAAGCGGUAGAUGAUUAUCAUGGAGAAUAUGACACUAAGAUCCACCCAUUUUGAUCUGUUCACGUGAAUCUGGAAUGUUUCUUUUAGCGCGUAUUCACCUGUGAUCUUGGGAAGAUCAGGACUCUGGUUAUCAAAUAUCAACCCCUUCAAGUGGUUUUUGUAUUGCCCCUACAGAAACACCAAGUUAAACUCAAUGGAUUCAUAUAUCAAAAUAAUACUGGACGGAUCUUAACAGAUUUUCCAUCAAAAAAAAACUACUACUUAGAUAUCUACAUCUGUCAUCAAAGCAAGUAAUUGGUCUGAACAUGCCAAGUUGGUGCUUGAUAACGCAUUUCUCUUUCAUAUGCUUUAUUUUGAAGGCUUACGUGUAAUUAUCUUUAGGCUCCGAUGAUGUUAGCAUUUCCAUUAUGAGUUUAUAACAGGUAAACUCUGCAGCAAAUAUUUACCUGUAUAGCCCAAAAAUCGAAAGUCAAGUAAGACACCGGGUAACGCCAGACAGGUUUUGGGAUGUCAUGGGGAAGUCUGAAGAACCCAGAAACCACCAUAGAUAUUCCCUAACACAGAAAACAUACACAAUUGUUAAGUGUGGAAAAUGGUAUGCAUGCAUUAGUACUUCUGAUUCUAAGAUAAGCAGAAAAUUUCGUAGUCUAUAAAACAGAAACGGAUUAAGUUUACUACCAGAAUGCCAGCCCCUAUGACGAUACCCAUGAGGAAAUUAGGGACAACACUUGCUAUGACCAUCAUUAGGCUCUCAACCGUUGUAAUACUGGCAUAAAGGGCCAAUACAAAGAACAAAUAGUGUGAGAAUCCUGGAUGAAAUCGGACCAUGAAGUAGCAGAUGGUACCAGAAAGAGUUGCAAUCAAUAUAAGGAACGGCAUUGCAGACAAUGUGUUACUUAUGACAAAUGCAAUGAUACUAUAAUGCCCAUUCAUCCUUUCCCUUUGAAAAACCUGUUUUGAUUGUAAAAAUAGGACCAAAUUAUUAGAAAUGUCUGGCAAUGUAUCACUAUAGAGUUAAGAUAGCUUUUUCAAGAGGGUCAUGCAAAGUACGAACUUUCAUAUCCUCCACGAAUGAAGGGAAACCUCCUAUCGACAUGAAUGUCAUAAAUCCAAAGAUGAAAGCUGCACAAGCACCUCUUGCCUGCAUAAAGUCAAUUUGAUAAAUAAAACAAAAAAUGCAUAUUCUUAAAAAUCCUAUUAGGAGAAACAAAUUACCUGGAUGGAAUUAUACGUGGUUCCCACAUUAAAAUAGAUAGUUCCAACGCAGACGGAGACCACUAAGUAGAUCACAAGCCUCAGCCAGUAAUAGCCAAAGUCUCUUGUCAUAUUAACAAAUGAACGUUUGGUUAAGAUGUAGGACUGCAUAAAGAAACUAGCUUGGCUACCAUUAGAAUCUAGCACUGUUCCUUUCUGUCACAAAAAAAGUAUCACAUUUUAUCAAAGAAGAAACUCGACAGAUGAUGAAGAAAUCAAGAUCAAAGUCUGGUACAUUAAAACUUACAACUUUGGACAUUUCUUCUACUUGUUCAUUUGCUAAGUAGCAAUAUUGAGAACGGCGAUAGAAGUCAACAAGACUUCGAAUUGCUUCUACUGUUGUCAUCUUGUUUAGAGGAUCAUCAUUGUACUGAUCAAACUAAAUAAAAUAAGAACAGAAUAAGCUAAAUGAAGGAAGGUGAAGAUCUUUAUAUCCUAAGACACUCUACAUGUUAAUGUUGCUUAAAGAAAGGACUACAGAAAACGGAAACUUAUAUGGAUCAGUGACUAUUUUAUUGCACUUAUCAAAACAAAAAACACAUGUGUGUAAGGUGUAUGCUUCAAGUGUUUCCUAACUUUGAACAGAGUAGCAUUACUUAUUUAAAAAGUUAUUCCCCGAAUCUCAUGCAAACUUUUGAAGUUUGAUUAGUAACAAGAUGAUCUUAAAAAGCAUACUUUGAUUGAGUCUCUUAGAGUUGCCUUAACUUUGUCGAAAUCAGAGUUACUGCACCGGAGGAAAUGAUCUGAUGGAUUUCUAAAAGAAGGACAAGGAAAUCCAGCUUCUGCAAAGAACUGCAAACCAAAAACUAGAUUUAAUUCUAACUUCCACAUGAUGAAAAAGGUAUAGGGUCGGGAGACGAAAAUGAUCCAUAGAAUGAUGGAGAGUCUUGAGUAAGGGAGAUAUCUUGCCUGGUGUGCUUCAGAAGCUUGACCAAAGUAAACUGUUUUGCCUCCGGAAAGCAAGUAUAAUCUGUCAAACAGCUCAAAUACUUCACUGCUUGGCUGGUGAAUUGAGGCUAUCACAGUCCGUCCAUCUCUAGACAGACAACGUAGCGUCUGUGUUACGAAGAAUGCUGAGGCACUAUCACAAAUCCAAUAAGCUGAUUCCAUUAGAUGUUGUUCCUUUAUUAGGUAUUUCAAAACUUAAACACACAAUUGAGCUAUGACCUUAAGAACAUUACCUGUCUAGUCCACUCGUUGGUUCAUCGAGAAAGAGUAAUCUAGGUCUCAUAAGAAUCUCAAGAGCAAUACUAACCCUCCUCUUUUCUCCUCCACUAAUACCGCGCAAGUGCCAAUUUCCAAUAAACGUAUCAGCACAAUCUUGUAAGCCCAUAUCAGCAAUGGUGCUCUCAACCAGUGUACGUUUCUCCGAUAAUGGCAUCCUAUCAGGGAGACGUAAUUGAGCUGAAUAGUGAAUCGUCUCUCGAACCGUUAGAGUUCCAAUCAACGUAUCAUCUUGUGUUACAAAUGCCUGUAGUGUAUAUAAAUUUGUUAGUUAAUCAGGUGUUGCGCCAAAGCUAACAAAUUAAACCAAGAUGAUAGUGAGAUUAUAAAAGAGAAAUAUAUAUAACAAACAUGGUUCAAUCCAUCCACAUGCGGAAAUGAGCAAUCCACUAUAUAAAAAGAGUAAAAUAUCGAGAGAAAAUAACCUCAUAAAACUUGCCCAAAGAAAAGAGAGUUUCAUUUCUAGAAUAGUUACGGAAUUUUCAUGGAUAGGAUCAAACCUUAUUCCAUCGUAUAUACAUGAGGUUCCUCUAUAAAAAAUCUACAAUGAAGUUUAGUUGAUCCAUGAUUUAUGUUUCAUCUUUCCUUUGCUUCAAGAAAUUUAUCCAUCAAUUCUAAUUCUUUCUUUUUUUCUUGAUUCUUUUCCGAUUAAUAUGUUUAAAUAUUGUUCAUGGAUUAACGAAAAAUUGUACCUUACAUGUUCUCCCUCUAAACAAGAUUCUCGAAGCUCUUAAGAGUAUAUUGUGAAUGCUGACAAGUGAAAAAUCCAAUUAUGGUACGAAAAUAUAUGAGUAGAAUUAACUAACUACUUACUACAGUUCCAAAUGAGAGCUUAGCUUUGCGACCGUUGAGGAGAAUAUUUCCAGAGAGGAUUGCAUUAGAAGCAAGACGUCCAGAGAGGGCGUCGAGCAACGUAGAUUUACCAGAACCAGAAGGACCCAUUAAUGCAGUAAAUGUUCCAGGCUCUGCAUAACCAGUAAGUCCUUCUAGUAUAUUUCUUGUAUCUCCAUUAUUCAGAGUAACCAUUACACUUACAUCCUUCCAAGCCACAUGAGCAGAUACUACUAUACCAUUGUGGCCUUGUGGUUCACUUGCUUCAUCAAUCUCCAUAAUAACAUCGUCAUUUGACGAUGUUACUACAUAGGAGAACGAUGACGAGGAGUUCCUCGUCAUCUAUAUACAGUUAAAAUUUUUCCUUUGGUUGUUUAAUCAAAUGUCUUCUUCUACUUGAAUUCAUCUUAUACAUGUAAUACUUGUGGUGCGUAUGAAGUAUAUUUGAAGAAAAGGUAGCAGGUCAACUCUGUACUGGAGUAAUAAAGAAACAAAAGAAAAUCCUACUAAUUAACAAAGGAAGCAUGGAAAAGCUGCGAAUCUUUUAUUUAUUUAUUUAGGAGUGAACGUGAUAUACAUAACCCUGCCAGAUUGCCUCAUUUGGCUGUACAUAAUUCUUUUACUUAGUCAUGUAAAAAUUGGCUAGACUUUCAACUAUGUGUGUCUGCAUCGUUUUGGAAAAAAUAAAUAAAUAAUGUUCUUCAGAUUUCAACAAUCCAACACACCAUUCAAUAUAUCCAAGUCAACUCCAAAUAAUUUCAAAUUUGAAUCAUAAGUUAAUUUACCAUUAAAAAAAAAUCUCAAUCAUCAAUUUAUUAAAACAAUUAUAAAUCUAACAUUUUCAUUUAAUACUUUUUAAUUUUUUUUCAUAUAUGACUAAUGCAAGUAAAAAUUGCUAUAGAAUUUUAAUCAUGUAUAUAAAUAAAAUAAGUAUUGUUUUUUUCCAUAAUAGAUCUCUUUAUCUGAAAUUAAUAGAGUAAUCAAUAUUUAUGCAAAAUUAAACACAAUGCCAAUACCAAUUAAAUGGUGCCUGCCAAAAUAGGGCACCCCAUGACAUUUUUAGGUGCACUUUGCCUGUGUUAUUUUCCUGAUUUGGACCAGCAAAAAUGAUGGAAUAAUGAUAGGAUUCUAAUAGAACUAGCAUGGACCACACCAAUAAUCAAAAAGUAUAUUCCUCUUUAUAUUUUUCGUUUUCCGAUAGUCAAAUAAUUUAAAUUUGAUAAAAAAUUUAUGUGAAAUUUUUAACUUUUUUGAAAUAAAAUUUAUGUGUUUAUAAACUAUUUUAAAAAGUACUAUGAAUCAUAACAAUUGAUUAUUGUAUGAAAAAUUUCUGGUCAAAACUAUUAUUAUUUGAAUCUCGUAUCAUAUAAAAUGGAAUAGGGAGUACAAGUUAAAAAAAAUAUUACUUAUCCAUUUUAAUUUAGGAGUCAUCGUUUGACUUUGACUUGACACGAAAUUUAAAAAAAUCUUUUAAAAUUAUUUUAAAUAAAUAUUACUAAAAAUUAACAAAAAUAAUAAUAAAUUAAAAAUAUACUUAAAAAGUAAUAAUUAUUAAAUUAAAAACCAUCACUUAUAUAAUUUUUCCUUAAAAAUCCCACCCACUAAGAAGAAAAACUGUGCGACAAAAAUUGGCAGAUACGUGUGCCAUACUUCAACUUGAUUUCUUAAAGAAAUUAAAAAAAUCUACUAACGCGUUGGUCAGAAUUUGGUCAUCAGCUUUGCUUGAACCAUGCUUAUAUUAUUAGUACUUUAUCCUCCCCAGAAUUUCGUUUAACUAGUUAAGCAGUUUUUCUUAACAAGUGACCUAUUUUUCUCUCGAAUCCCUUCUUCAUCGUGUUGAAAUUGGUCAAAACAGUGAAAGAAUCGGAAGAUUUCUGUAGCCAAAAUGAUGGAUUUGUGAUAAGCGAAGCUUGUUACUGGUAAUUUUAGGAGAAAGAGAAGGAUGUUGCUGCUAUUUAUAGUGUUUGUUCUGGGAGCUGUAACGGUUAUUGCAAUUGAAGCUGUGUGCGUGGUGUAUUUGAUACGCUGGUUGAACCGUAGACUUGCUCGUGAAGUAGAUAAAGCAAAACCGGACGGGUCGCUAUCGUCUACUGAGGAUUUCGAUUUCUCGUUGUACCUGAAACAGGUAUGUCAUUUUACUUGCUUAAUGUUCAUGCUGCUCAAUUUUGACUGAUUGAUUUAUAGGACAGCUAAAUUAACUCGAUUAAGCUAUUCCUUUCGUGAAGUUAUGAUUUGGAAUCUACAUUAGAAGUAUAUUAGCAAUUUUCCCCUAUCUAAGUAAUGAAUAAGGGCAUUUGGAAGUGUGAUAUGCAAUUUAGGUUGAAAUUUCGGGAGAUGAAAAGUGCUAGACAUUUUGGAAUAAAGAGAGUAUAUGUGAUUAGUCUAUUUGGGGACAUUGGUAGAAUGUAAUUUGAACACUUGAAUGUAGAGAUUAGAUGUGUUUUGAGUCUGGUCUAUGUGGAGUCUUUUUUUUUUUAAUAUAUUAGACUAGACUUAAGGCUAUUGAUUUGCAUUCGUAACCUUCAGUGUAAACUUGUUACAUUGAAUAAAAAGUGUGUUCAGUUCAAUAAUUUCUAUGUUGUACUAGAGCAGGAAGAAGUUUUGGUUUCAAGUCUCACCACUGCCCAUUAUUAAGUUAGGUAGUUCCACGUGCUUGGCCUAACAAGAGAAUAGUGUGUUAAGACAUUGUUAAAAAAAUAGAAGUGUACCCUAUAAGAUGUGCUAGAGGGAAAUAAUAUAUGAACUCCUCCCGUUUCUAAUAGAAAAAGACAUUGAGGACCUGUUAGAAUUAGAUACCUCUUGUAGCACACCUGUUAUACUACACCCUAUUAGAAACGGGAGGAGAUUACAUCAUUAUUUCCAUUGAAAGCAACAUGAUAGGAUGUGCUAGAGGGAUUAUCAGUUUGGAUGAUUAGAUUUGCUAUUAUUUUCAAGCUGAGGGUAUAAUUUUGAAUAUAUUCUUUUUCGGACUCUUUUAUAACCGUGGUAUCUGGGAUAACUUCUUUUCAGACUUUUUAGGAUAUUAUUACCUUAGAAGAAUAUAACGUUAUAAUAAUAUCUCAUUAACACUGUUUCUUCUUCAUCGUUAAGAGAUAAGUUUUCUCAGAGAUAACUUAUAAUUGCUCACACCGAGCAGCAAAUUUGAUUUUCAAUUCAAGUUCCUUUCACAUUUUCUUAAAUGGACUUGAUCAGCUUCAACUUACUGUCUUGUUGCUUAUGUUCUGUAUCUGCUUCCAGGGGACAGUCUGGGUUCUAGAAUCUGAAAGAAUACCAAAGGCUCUUCCAGUGGAUAAAGCCGUGACGCAGCAAAAAAGCAAGAAGGAGGUCUUAGAGGUUACACCUACUCAGAAAUUUGCACAAAUCAAGGAUCAUCAUCUCGUAUUUACAGAGUCAGAUGGUUCCCAUGUAGAAAUUCCACUGAAAGGUUGCAUAAUAGCAGCUGUUUCAGCGUCAAGCUUGUCCACUAGAAAAUGGUAAGUUUGGAAGUACUAUUAUAUAUUGAAGUGAUUUUUGUUGAACCGACAAACUGUAUUAAUUUUGGUCGUGUAAGUUGGUUUGAGUCAUUGGUUUCAAAUAUAAAAUCAUUGGCAAGAUGUGGCACUCGUAGUCCUCUUCUAACAUUUUUAUGAAUAUAGUUUUGGAGGCAUCAGAUCUGGAAAGAGCUAUCUAGUUCUAGCUGCAAUUGAGUUAUAAGCUAUGUCCUUUGUCAUGUGGUGCUGGUGGUAUAAAAGCUUGGGCAGACAUAAAUAUGAGUGCAAAGCAUUCUUCUUAGUCAAGUCUGAAUUGAUCUGGUGGUUGAAUGCUAGCUGAAGCACACAUAUGUAAACCUACAUGUAUUUUUGCAGUUUCAUAGAGUGGAAAUAGGUUGAUCAUUUGCUGCUAUGUUUAGCUAAAGUAUUUUUAUUUUAUUUUUGGAUUAUUUGAAGUUCAAGUCCAAUCCCUGGUUGAGAUUUAGGGCAUCUGCAGAUUUUAUUCUAAAAUAAGCAAGCUAAAAUUCUUCAAAAGAAGUUUGCAGAAGUAGCUAAAUUGUGUGCUUUGUUCUAAAUCUGUGUGCUAGAUUGCUGGCAGCAGGAAAGCUAGAAUAGAUAUAAAGAUGAGCCAAAAUAUUCUUCUUAGUCUGACCGCGAAAUAAUCUGGUUGUUGGAAGCUGGUUUCCACAAAUUUGCCUACAUGUAUCUCUGUAGUAUCAUUGGGUGAAAGUAGGUCACUUGCUGCUCAUUUUAAAAAUAUAAAAUUUUCAUUAUAGCAAUUGUCACUACUUUGAUGUUCAAAUUCUGGUUGUGUGAUUUUGGGACAAUCGCAGAGUUUUUUAAAUAAGAAAGCUAAAAUUAAUUCUAGAAGAAGUAGACAAAAAAUAAAACCCCAAUUACCCGUUUUCUCUAUUAUCAAGAAGUUGAUGGAUAAAUUAUUGCCGCUAAGGCAAAUGUAGAACAGAUCUCUGUUGGUGCCCAUAAUAGAUUCUGCUUUUCCUACAAAAUCUUAGAUUUCACUGAAUUAGCACACAGUUAAGUAAGUGGCUUGUGUAAUUGUUUGGCAGAGAAGUAAUAAAAAUAAUUUACAACUUCUAUUGGUGUUAUCUGCUGCAAUCUUACAGGGCGAAAAGAUAUCCUAUCAAAAUAGAGUGCAGAGCAUCAACUUCAUGUGAAGGAAGUAGAAUACUGUACAUUUAUCUUGAGACAUGUUGGGAGAAAGAAGCAUGGUGCAAAUCCCUUCGUCUUGCUUCCUGCGAGGACCAAGUAAAACUUACGUGGUUUGCCAAGUUGAACAUAGAGUUUCAAAAUUACCUGACGUCAUUAAAUGCAGGUUAUCCUUCAUUUAUGAAACCGUAUUCAAGUGUUAGUCCUGAUUUAGGUGAUAAAUCAAGUAAGUUUGAUGGUUCCUCAUCAAAAGUUCGGCAAUUUCUGAAAAAGCUUGGCAAGAAAGCUUCUAAGAGUAUUCCAGAAAACAAAGGAAGCAGCAUUUCAACGUCUGAUCAUGAAGAAAGGAAGAUAAGUGAGAGAGCUCAAUCCUUACAAGACCUUUCUUUUGCUGGUGGAGGUAUCAAGUUGGCUCCAACACGAAAACCUCUUGAUUUUUCUACUAAGGACGUUGCAGUGCCUUCAUCUACAUCAACAUCUUCUGGAUUAGGAAGCCGGAGUCAAACGUCAGUUACUUCUGAUGCGGAUUCUGAUGAGAGAAUUUUUGGUGAUGAAGGAACUCUUUGUUGGAACUUGUUGAUAUCCCGUUUGUUUUUUGAUGCUAAAAGAAACGACCAGAUGAAAACCUCUUUGCAAGCCAGGAUUCAGGUUUGCAAUCUCCUUUCUCUUUCCAUUAGUAUAUGUUUCUUGAUUUAAGCUUUUUGGUUGGACGUUAUAAUUUGCUCUAACUAUUGCUUUUGAAAAUUAGCAAUAUUUAUAUAGGUACUGUUUCAUUUUGAUAUUCUAUGCAUCUUCUAUUAUUAUAUUAAACUAAAAUAGAAAUUUUCUUUGUCGAACUGACUUAUGAUUCUGUGUGUUCUUACUUGUAGAGAACGCUGUCAAAUAUACGAAUUCCUAGCUACAUAGGCGAAGUGACAUGUACUUCUGUUAAUAUUGGUAACCUUCCUCCCUACAUACGUGCAAUGAGGGUUCUUCCCUCGGACAUGAAUGAGUUUUGGGCCUUCGAAAUUGAUCUUCAGUAUUCUGGUGAUGCAAUCUUGGAGGUCGAGACGAGGGUAGCAGUUCAGGACCUUGAUUUACCUGAAGGUGAUGAACCAGAAACAGAAUCCGGUGCUAUUCAUGAUGUGAAAUAUGAUUUACUAGAAGGGGUUGAGCAGUUUGGAAAACAAAAGCAUUCUGAAGUGAACGUUGAUAAGAUGGACCAAGCCAAGGAAGGUAAUAUUUUCUAUGAUGUUCUCAAAAUUUUGGAUUUUGCAAUCAAAAUAUGUUAAUUUGCUUGGGCAUGCUUCAUGGUUAUUUGUGCAGUAACUUAAAGGGAAUAGUUAACUAUUUUUGAAAGAAAAAUUAUUUUAGAUGGUUUUCAAGGUGUAUUAAUCAUGUGAAUUUUCAGAUGGGAUGAGAAGCUCCAAUAGCACUCCAAAUGUGUUGCCUCAAGUUUCUAAGUGGAAGUCUAUCUUUAAUUCUGUUGCCAAGCAGGUCUCACAGGUUGUUUACAACUAUUUUAUUUAAUAUAAUGGGCUGUUUGGUCUGUACAGAUAGGGUGGAGGUGCUUAUUUAAUUUUUCUUUAUGUACAUGGUAGAGCAGUUUAGUAUCUCGCAAGGCUUAUAAUCUUGAUGUUAAAGGUUCAAUCCUGUCAACAUCUAGUUUAGUAUCUCGCCACAAGGGUUUUCUCUUCCCAAUUGAUUUUUCUAAAAUGAAAGAAUGCAACAAAAUGGUUAUAGUUAUGACAACCCAAGAGCCAAAAGUACACAAAAUCCCUAUAGUCCUCUAAAGAUAAUGAGCUAUAGAAGAGUUCUUGUCACAAGAUCCCUUGGAUUCAAAGAGCUUAAUUGGCCUUGGUUUUCUUUGUUCCCUCAUAGUCCUCAAGGCUUAAAAAUCAUUAUACAUGAUCCUUUGAGCUAAAUCGUGGAGAUCUUAUAAUUUCUUAGCUUGAUUCCUUGUAAAUGGUCUACUUGAGAGAUUCACUUCUCUUGGGUUAGUCAAAAUCUACAGGUUAACGGUUAACCUAUGUUUGUGCAACUUACAUCCUAGAAUACUUUUGUGUAAAAUACAGCAAAAUUUCAGUAGUUCUCCUGACGUUGACUUGAAAUGACCUCCUUAUUAGUUACAGAGAAGAACUAUAGUUGAUGUCGUUAAGUUGACCUUAGUAUCCGUUUUUAGCAAUAGAUAAUGACAGGUAAGACAAGGAUCCCCUAAGGAGAACAUGGUAUGAGUUAUGGUUGAGCAGUGGAUUCUGAAUGAUAAAGGAUUUACGCGUUAUACAAUCAUGAGAACUUCUAAUAUGGCAGCAUUCUGCUACUGCAUGUAUUUCUCAGACGAUUAGUAAUUUAAUCAUAUUGUGCCGGACGAAAACUUUUGAAUUUUUAUUGGUGCAUGUACUGAAGAAACAUAGUGUCUUAUUCUUCCUGUACUGUAACAAAUUGUGGAAGAAGCUCUUUUGCAUUCUAAUCAUUGGAUCUUUAAACUCAUCAGGUAUCACUCUCUCUGGGGAUAAGGAUCGCAUCCAUUCAAGGAACUAUGAGGCUCUACAUAAAGCCACCACCUUCAGAUCAAAUAUGGUUCGGAUUCACAUCGAUGCCCGAUAUAGAUAUCCACUUGGACUCUUCCGUUGGGGAGCAUAAGAUCUCAAGUGGGCAUCUCUCUUUGUUCCUAAUCAAUCGGUUCAAGGUCAGAUUGAUAAUUUCUGUACUACAAUUUGAUUAUGUGUCUAUACAUCUCUUCUUCUCAUUAAGCCCUUUACAUGGACUUAAUCAUGAUUUUUAAAUUUUUUACCAUUGGGCCUUUAACAGUUCUAACACUUCGCUAGCUUAAAUCCAUUUUCAGUAGGUCAAGGUUUCUAGAGAAUAAUUGUGACUGACUUACAGCAGUGGGUUAACACUUGAACAAAAAUUUCUAGAAUAUUGUCUCUUAAAUAUCAAAUAGUGGAAACAGCACUUAGAAUUGUGGAAAUCAUCGUUACAAAAAGAUAUAAUAUAGAGUGGUUUCCAUAUAAAAUCCAAUUCUUUAAAAUUACGUCUAAAUCCCCAGACAAGUUGGUGCCAAGAGUACUUUUCCUAAAAUAAUCUAACCACUUAUCUGUAUAAGUGGAUAUUUCCUACAAAAAAGGGCCAAAACUACCCCUCAAAUAUUAGAAAUGGUAUAAAAAUACCUUCUAUCCACCUAUUUGACUAAAUUUGCUUUUACCACUAUUAUUUUGGCUCUUUUCUGCCCUAAUAACUAAUACUCCAUGCCCUAUUAAAAAAAAUCUGUUGUUAUUUAAUAUGUGGUGUCACCUGAUUGGCCUAAUUUUGGGUCCCAUAGUAAAAGAAAUUUUUAAAAAGUGGUCUCUCUCUCUACACUCACCAUUGCCAUUCCUCCCCCUCUGGCCCACAUUCCUCUCUUCCACUUUAGUCUUCUUCCUAUAAGAGAACUCGUGCAUGCACCAAAGAAAAUAAAGGGAAAAGAUGGUAUUCAAGUGUACAAACUAAGUUUUUCUCAACUCAAUCAGAAAUUCUACUAUUCCUCAUACAGCCCACAUAGUGUUAAGAGGAGUAACAAGUCCCUUCAAAUGAUUGUAAAUGGCAAGAAAUGCAACGACCUGUGAGUGUCCCAUGCUCCAUGUCUUCUUUUCCUUCUUCAAAAGGCUCUGCUAAACAUUGUUUUCUAGUACCCGACAUCACCCACUCAAGUCUAAACCAUCUCAAAAUUUCUCAUAACAAAUAAGAUACUAUCCAACAAUGUAAAAGGAGGUAGUUCACAUCUUCCCCUGAGCCUUCACAUGAAACAUUAACUAAUACAAGUAAUCUUCUUCCUCAAAAUUCUCCGACAUCAAGAUCAUCCUCUUGCAGCCAGCCAAGCAAAAAAAACAUGUUUCUCAAUACCCUAGUGAUGCGUUUCAAAAUAUGGGUGCAAAAGCUGAUUAGAAGUUUUUCAUAAUUGGUUAUUGGUCACAACAGAAAUGACGCCUAUUCUGUGAAGUUAUUUGUUUGUGAAACAACUCGACCAAAUUUUGAAAUUCUUCAACCUCCCAGCCUUGCAAGUUCUUGUUUUUAGAUCAUUUCUUUUUGAUAAGCUACUAAUUUAUUUGUACUUGUUUCAUUCCCAACCACCAAUGUCUCUGCUUCCUAUGGAUUGGUUUUAUAACGAUGCUUGAAUUUAAUUCAACUUUAAAUUCGAUAGAGCAAUCUAUGCAAAGUUUCCAAUAUAUUGUUCUCUUUUUAUCAUCCGUAGGCUGAGAUUUCCUUCAGAGGCUUAAGCUGAUUCUUUAUAACUAAUGCAGGGUGCUAUUCGUGAAACACUGGUACUUCCAAACUGUGAAAGUGUAUCCAUCCCAUUUAUGUUAGCAGAGAAGGACGAUUGGGUCCCCCGACAAGUUGCCCCAUUUUUAUGGCUGAAUCGAGAAGGUGCAGGUAAUAAUGCGAACAGACAAGAAGCAUCCAGCUCCCAACCUGCGGAUGCAACACGAGUCACUGAAGUUGACAAGGGAGGUACCAAUGGUAAUUCUGAAAGCAAAACUGAAAUUCCAGGAAAAACAGGAUGGAGUACUCAACAAAGCAAGUCAUUGGAUCCACAUGCAUUAUUAUCAGUUCCUACGCAUAGUCCAGAAACAGGAAGCACCUCUAGCAAUGGCGGAAGCAAUCAAGCGAAGACGAAAAAACUUGGAUGGUCUGCCCUGCAAAGCAAAUCACUGGAUCAUGCGUCUCUAUCAGUUCCUAUAGCACAGCCUGGCACAAAUAACCAGCCUUUGGAAGAAUUGGGAGCACCAUUGUUGAAGCAUGAGGAACAGCAAGAGGGUCAUCUCGAAAGCACAGCGGAGAACAUAGAAUGCAAGUCACCUUCUCGACAACUGUUACUACUUGAAAAAAAUCAAAUUACUGGAGAAGAUGAUUCAAAGUGUACAAGAUUAGGGAGAAGGGCUAGGAUGCUUGGUUUGGGGAAGAAAAUGGGGGAGAAACUGGAAGAAAGGGCACGUCACAUAGAAGAAAAGGGGAGAAAUUUAGUUGAGAGAAUGAGGGGACAACAGUGAAAUUAAGGAACAUUGUAAAUUUUACAGUAUGGCCAGUUCAUUUAUUUUCACAACGCAAGUCCCUGUGUAUCUUGUUACUGGCAUUUCUUUUGUGCUUCACUGUCUUCAGUCUUCACUAACGAAAUUAUCCAAUGGUUCACAUGUUUCAGUAUCACAGAUGCAGUAAACUGACGACCUUGUGAAGGAAAAAAAAAUCAAAUCAACAGUGCUAUGCUUGGCUUCCGUGGUCGGAUGAUUCAUCUUUAGCUGCCAUGAAGAAGAUUGUUCUCAACUCAUACACAAGCUUUAUCGUUCUUAAUUGGUUGUCCAUAAAGAAAGAGUUGGAAGUAAAAAAUAUCUUGCGUCGAUUGUAUGAGGUGAUUAUUAUCGUCAUUUUAUCAUGUUAUGCUGUUGAAUUAAUAUAUGUUACUCAUUCGAGCUAAACACUUAAGUAGACCAAAGGUCCCGUGUAGGUACGAGAAUGGAAGAUAAAAGUUUACUUUUGCAUAACAUAAUCAACAACUAUACAAAACUUAAAACACUUUAACCUUCUUGUCCUAUUAUAGUCGUGGUCAAUUAAAGAAAAGCGUAUAUGUACUACAACACUAAGAACCCUGAUAUUAAAAAUUGCUGGAGAGCUAGGCUUGUUUCAAGCCUUGAGAAAACUUAACCCAUUUAGAGAGAUGAAAUUGCAAACUUGACAAUUCUGUGAAACCCUUUAGUGCAAUAUAUUUUCAGGUUAACAAACAUCUCUAAGAAACAUCAGUGGAAAGCUCAAUAUAAAGAAAAUCUAGGGUUCUAACAUUCAUAAGAAACUAUCAUGCGAUAAAGUCAAGUUAGCACUACUCUUAUGAUUGAUUUAAGUAAAACCAUCCAAACAAGAACAUGGUAAUACAAUUAUGGAAUGAAUGCAGAAAUAUGAAGAAAAUAGAUAGGACAACAACAAAAAUUUGCUUUUCCACUCUUUCAAAACAAAAGCACUUCCAGAUUCUCCAAAGAAACACUGCACUAGCAAUGAUUAAAUAAUUCAGUACAUCCACGAAGUCAAAAUCCUUUUUAACUGUGCCAUUAAAAAACCAUCUAUUGUAGAACUCGAAAUAUCUAAUCUUUAUCCAAAAAAGGAUGAAGAGCUUGAAGGAAAAAGGCUCAUUCCCAGCCUGUAGCACCAGAGGUAGGGGCAACAUCUGGUACUGGUAGAGGAACUGGUGCAGGGGCUGCUGCUGCAUCCCAUCCGCCAUCAGCUGCUGAAAUUCGUCCCGGAAACAAAAGGCAAGGUUAUUAGUGCCAACAAAUUUAGGAAUAAGAAUAACUUAAAAUCACCAAAUGCUUACUUACAGAAGAGGCUCACAAUCAUAGGACAGGGAAAAAAAAGAGAAGCAAAAGACUAUCAGCUAAAAUGAGCUCAAGAGCAACAAAGUGCCAGUUGGGGAUUGAAAUUUUUUAGCAGACAAUAUUAGGAACCAACUUCACAAAAUAACAAACUAACCUCCAUCUCCAGCCCAACCACCACCUACUGCAGGUGCUGCAGCAUCUGCAGUCCAUUGCGCCUCAGGGAUUUGGCUACUAGUCCAGUCACCACCAAGGGCAGCACUCGCAGAGUAGUCUGCAUAAUCUGCAAUUGCUGGCACUUCCUCUUCUUGCUCCUUUGCCUCUUCAGGCUCUCUGUAAAAGAAGAGAUCAACCUGCAAAAAUAGAAAUAAACAGAUGCAAAUGAAAAACCUAUAUUCAAGUGACUGCAAAAGCAGGCAUUAAAUCAUCUACUAAAUUUCAGAAGAGCACACAACCACCACCAGCAGAAUGUAACAAUGAAGUUAGAGCUAUACAAAAUAAAAUGAAUAAAGAUGGUCUUUACCAUAACAUCCCAUUUAGGUCCUUGAUUAAUGGCCCCACGCAUCUGGAGUACCAUCCUUGCUAAGAUCCAGAAAAGAACACCAAUGCUGUGCUUUCCUUUGUUAUUGGCAGGGAUACCAAUGUCAACAUAACGCAUUGGAGAAUCAGUGUCACAGAAAGCAAUAGUUGGGAUGUUUCCAAGUGCAGCUUCCUUGAUUGGCUGCGAAGUUUUCAAACAGGUUAGUUAUAAUUGGCAGGUUUACAAGAGAAUAUUAGUAGCAGGAUAGCGAGUAAAACCUGAUGGUCAGUUCUUGGAUCAGUCAGAAUCAAGAGUCGUGGCUCACUGUAUGAGGUCUGAAGCUGAUUGGUAAAAGUUCCAGGGGUGUGACGUCCAGCAAUAGCAUGUGCACCAGUAUAUUGAGCAAAUUUCAAGACAGCUCUCUGUCCAUAAGGCCUGGCAGAUUGAACAAUGAUGUCCUGAGGAUUCUCAAUAGCAACAAUCACCCUGGCAGCCAUUUGAAGCUUUUCCCAUGUCUUUCCAAGGUUGAUGAUGUAGAUACCUACAAAUAUAAAUACUUAGGGUCAAGUAAACAGAGAAACCAAACCACUAAUGAAGAUUUUGUUAUGACACCAGGAAUUUGAAUUUGUAUCUCUAGUUGUCCCACAUAGAGUACUAGUAAAAUGCACAUCUAAUAUCAACUUAAUGGAAGUAAACAAUAGAGAGAGCAAAUGAAAUGUUGCAGAUAAAGAAUUCCUACAUGAGAUAAAACACUUAAUGAAUCCGAAUGCAUAUCAUAUAUAUGCAGGUCAAACAAUGGAAAGAUUAUCUAAAAGAGAAACUAGCAAUUACAAACAACACAAUCUGACCGAUACAGGCGCCCAGCCUCAGCAAACUGAAAAUACAUCAAAAACACUUAUUUGCAUUAUAUGCAUAUUGUAAAGGUAUUGGCUUCACUUGCCACAAGGUUUUACAAUUCAAAUCUAUCCACAUGAGUAGUGAAUUAAUCUAUAUGCUUUCAAAUAGUUGCAGUACAUACACUAUAAAUGUCAUUACUGUUGUUCGAAUCAAGCUCCCUGUUAAGUGCCUAUAUCUAAUUAAUAUGAACCUAUUAGCUUGAUAAAAUGCACCUAGAAGACAGCAAGACAGCUACCCAUGCAUCGGCUUAAUCGUAAGAACGAGCAAAUCCUACCAGUAGGUAAGAGCUGAAUACAAUUAUCACAGAGAAGUAAUGGCGAAUAAAAAAAGUUAAAUCCUUCCAACUGUUACUAAACAUUUUUUUCCAAAAAAAGUUCGUGGAUAACCAAAUCAAUACACCUAAUGCCAACAUAACAAUAAGCAUCUACAAACUACUAUGCAUCAAUCGGUGCAAUUUACAGCUAAUAGACAUAAGAUAUGAUCUUAACAUAACGAAAAACACAUAGAAUCAAGGAAUGAGAUAGAAAAUUAAGUUAAACACUUUCAUACCAUCGUUACGGCGCUUGAAAGCGUAUCGCUCCAUUUGGAAGUCACAAUUCUUAGUACCGAGGUGAACUUCAGCAGCCAACAUCAUCUGAAUGUCAGCUUCUUUAGUCGAAAGAGUCCUUACAUCUUGCGUCGCCAUGGUUGUGCUCUGCUUCUUCCCUUUCUGCUGCUAGGGUUUUUUUCGGCUUGCGGCAGAUCGAGAUUCUCUCUUCACGAACGUAUCUAUAAAACCCUUUUGGUAUAGAGGAACUUAAAUAUAAAACCUUGCUCGUAUUGGGCUGGGCUGUUGUAUAUUUAUGGGCUGGGCUGAUUAAAUUUCUCUUCUAAAAAUCGUAAAACUUUGAUAGUUAAGCCACAUUUUCAACUGGUAUUUAAAAGUUAACCUUUGUUUUGAUAGGAAACUAACUACACCAAGCCGCGUGUUAUGGGCGAAGCACUUGUGUAUGUAAUGCAAGUGAACGUCUAUGAAAAACUGUUGUAAAGUUUCGUUCUUCGUUCUAUUGUCGAUUCUAUUUAUGUUUCGUUCUUCAUUCUAUUGUCGACUCUAUUUAUGUUUCGUUGUUUUGAUAGGAAACUAACUAUACCGUGAGAUCGACCUUUACACUAUAUUUGGGUCAUUGUUAUUCAUUGUAUUGUAUUGUAUCGUUAAUAUAUCUAUAAUAUUUAUUUUGAUUGUUACUUAAAAUGUAUUGUACUAUAUUGUUAAAUUUUAUUGUUACGUAACAAUGAAAAUCUUUUUUUAUGGAACAACUAAUUUGGUGUGUUCCUACUGUUACUUAAUUUCUUUUUUCAAUUAUAUAUUUACAUAAUAUUUUAAAAUAUUAUUUUACCCUUUAAUUUAAUUAUUUAAAUCUAGUCAAAUCUCCUACCCUAGAAUAAUUAAGAUAUUUUAGUAAAUUUAUAAAUUACAAUACAGUAUGAUGCGAUUAAACGUAACAAUUAAAAUGUUAUUAAACAACAACAAACAAUUCAGUCUAGCCGAACAUUAUAUAUACCAUACAAUACAUUAUAAAACAAUGGAUAACAAUGAUCCAAACAAAGUGUUAAUGGUCAAAAGUCAAAAUUUGUUGGUUCUAAAAGAUUUUUUUUCAUUAAACAAGUAGGGCGAAAGUUUUCAUGGUCAACAAAUUCAAGGAGAUUUUUGUAAAUCACUUCUUGUUUGGUACGUGAUUAAGUAAUUGUUAUUUUUUAAUGUUGAGUGAAAUCUAAAUAAAAAUAUUCUUAAUUAAAUUACGAAAAAACAACUACCAUAACGUUGAAGUUACAAAUGAAUCUCUGAUAUAUUUUACUAAAGUUCUUAAACUUCAUUUAUAUGAAAUAUGUGUGCUUUAGUAUAUAGGACAUAAUUCUUGGAUGAUCAGUAAAAAAAAGUUCACAAAUCUCUUUGUUUGAGUUCUUUUGUACUGUUGUAGAAUCAAAUUGUAUAAUCGAAGUUAAAAUUUUAUAGUAUAUGAUCAUCUUAAUUAAAAUUUACAUUAUUAGAAAACAACUUUUUUUUUUUAUGAUUUAGAGUAAUUAUAUUCCUAAUAUGUUUUUUAUAUAUAUAUUUAACAAAAUUUAGCUUUCGUCUGCAAAGUAAUAAGAUUCUUCUAAUUAUAGUGUGUUAAAUUCAGACACUGGGAUUUAGGUAUAUAACAUUUGAAUUAUUUGUUACUCUGGUUAGAAAAAGGAAACAACUUAAAACACAACUCUAUUAACCAAAAUGUACAAAAUAAAUAUACAUUAGUUAUUGUAAUUAAUAGUGAAAAAAGCAAGACCAAAAAUGCAACCUACGAAGUAAAAUGUACUGUAAUAUACGUUAUAAUGUAAUAUAAUAUGAAUGUUUAAAAUCGAACCCUAAUUGAUAAUUUUAAAUGAAAAAUAGUUAUUGGAUUAUCAAUUUAAUAUUUUCAGUAAUAAUUUUAAAUUUUUUAAUUAUUAGACAGAUCAGGGAUUCUUUAUGGUUUUAAUUUUUUCCUUAAUAGAUUAACCAAUACCUCCAAUUAAAGUAAAUUAAAUAGUUAUAUUUUUUUAUUACUUAGUAUCAAACUCUAUCGUCCAAAGUGAUAAGGUUCGUCUGAUUUCUAUUUCUAUUUAUAUAACAGUAUCAAACUUUAUCGUCCAAAGUGAUAAUGUUCGAUUUUAAACAUAAUGCGAUCAUUCGUCUAAUUUCUAUUUCUAUUUAUAUAACUUAGUAUCACACUCAAAGUGACAAUAUUCGAUUUUAAAUGUAAUGCGAUCAUUAUCACUUUGUUUGUAAGUGAUUUUGAGUGACUCUUUGAAGUGUCAAAUCUUAACUAUAACGAUUUAAUGAAUAAUUAGACUAUCAAUAACCGACCGCCCUGGAUAGACAACCACAUAGAGGGCCUCUAUCAGUCUAUAUAUUCUUUGAUUUUGUUCCCCUCUAUGAGGUCUGCAAGUUUCACAUCUAAGUAAUACCCGUCUUAAUGAUUCAUAACAUAUCUACUAAUAUCUAGAAACCAAUAACCAAAACCGAACAUACACAAAACAUAGCUUUUUUGUUUAUGUUAUUUAAAAGCUUACACAAGUCAAAAUUAAACAAGUCGCAAAUACAUUUGAAGGGGGCUAAGGCCUCUUAAGAAAGCAAACAAAAAGACCCAAACAUACAAACUUCACAAACAAAACAAGUCCUCCUAUUUUAGUAAUCUUCUGGAGCCAAAGGCUGAUGAUGAGUAUGAACUGGAGCUUCAUCAUGAGCCUGUAUGAGUCCAAAUUCAUAGAUAAUUCCAGCUAUGGCUGCACCAAUGAAUGGGCCUACCCAAUAGAUCCAAUGAUUCCUCCACCUCCAGCCCACUAAAGCAGGCCCAAAAGCCCUUGCUGGGUUCAUGGAUGCUCCUUCAAAAGGCCCACCAACAAGGACAUUAGCUCCAACAAUGAAAGCAAUAGCAAGAGGUGCAAUAAUCCCCAAACUACCCCUCUUUGGAUCAAUAGCUGUUGCAUAAACAGUGUACACCAAACCAAAUGUCAUCACUAUUUCCAUCACAAGUGCAUUUCCAUUGCCAACUCCUGAUGCUACCGCAAAUCCCACUGGCCUCUGUAUCCACACAGAAAAUGGUUGUUCGUUGUAGUAAAUAAUUAAUCGAGUAAAACCAUAGUGUAGGUACUCGCUUUGUACCAUAAAGAAUGACAUCCGAUCGUUUUUUUUUCUUUUUCGUCUGUUUUUUUUUUAAAAAAAAAAAAUCCUUUCUUCCUUUUCUUCAUGGUCAGUUUCAAAAAGAACUAUUUUUCCUUUUUCUGAUAAAAUUUUAAUUUCAACUAUUCACAUAACAUAUUUGAGAUCACAAAUUUAAAUAACAAUUUUGUAUAUUUUACAUAAUUUUAAAAAUCUUUUUUAAUUUCAUGUCAAAGUCAAACUAAAUCAUUUUAAGAAAGAGAGUAAUAUAUAAAAAAGAAAAAAAAAGGACAAAUAUAUCCUAAACUAUGAUAAGUUUAUGAUAAAUGAUAUAAAGAUGCCUCUAUCUUACUUUUGAAUCAUAGUAAGAUACCAUUAAAACUAAGAGACACACAAGUAUCAUGAUCUUAUCCACCAGCCCGAAGAUUGAAGGAUAUAUACUCACUAAUUGUUGUCUUUGGACGACGAGUCCCAAAAAUAUGACUGAAGAUAUUUAUUCACCACUUAAAAUAGUUCGGUAUAUAUUUAUCUUUUUUUCCAAUAAAAAAAGCUUAUGAGAAUUUAAGACUGAAGUAUUCCCCUUUUUAAUUUUUGUAAAAAAUAUUCCCUCUGUCCCAAAGUUCUGAGAAAAAAAAAAUGAAACUCGUAGUCUAAAACAAGUCUCCAGGGAUUUUCCGAACUAAAAAUCAUUUCAUCAAGAGUAAAAGUAAAACAGAAAAAUUGAAGUUAAAUUAUUUCUAUUAAGCUUCUGUUUUCCGAUGGAGUGUCUUACCAAUCCAUCCGUAGCAAGCCUCAACAAGGCAGAGGCAACAACAGCACCUAGCAACUGACCAAUCCAGUAGUACAUAGCACGAAGGACGCUAACUCGCCCGCCCACAAGAGCACCAAACGUAACAGCCGGGUUGAUAUGACCACCGGAGACGUUCAUACUGGACGCUACCGCAGCAAACAGCGAAAACGCAUGCGCGAGUGCAAUCGCCGUCAAUCUCGACGCUCCUAAAGCUCUAUCAGGGUACAACUUAUCUACACAUACAAUCCGCACGAAUAACAAUCAGUAAACAAUAAUACAGAAUGUUUUGUGCAUCGAAUUGUCACGGAUAGAAUUAAUUAGGAGUUAGGAGUUACCAAGGGCAAGAACAGAUCCUUCUCCAGCAAAGACGAAAAUGAAAGUAGAGAGAAACUCAGAUAAGGUAGCACGCACAGAAUCAGGGUGUGUAGCUUCAUCCGCCCUGCCAAACUCAUAUCUCCGUGGCUGCAUAAUUGUGAGUAUAUUUUUUUUUUCCACACAAAACACACCGCUUAAAGAUAAUAACAAUAAUAAUAAUAAUAAUAAAAAAUAUAAGACGAGGCUAAUAGAGAACGAUAUGAUCGAGGGGGGGUGUUUAUAUAUAGAACAGAUGGGUUACAGUAAGAUAAUAAAAGUGGACACCUGGGAGUAGCACUGCAUGAAUAGUGACACGUAUACUACAUGCAUUACGUUGUCUCUUUCGAUCCAAUCAACAACCUCUUUAUCUGACUUCACUUGCUAAAACUCAAACGUUACACUAAAACUAAACGACAAUAUAUAAUAAAACCAUUGCUUUUAAGCAUAAUAACCUAUCGUCUUGAUUUUAACUGAUAUUUAUGUUUUUAAAGCAUAUAUAAAUAAAUAUUAGUUAAAUUUGUUUUUGAAAUUUAGUAUACAUAUGUUCUAUGUAAUAUUUUAUAUGAUAAUUUGUGUUAGAUUCGCUCAAACUGAUUAAUACGUGCACAUCAAAUGUGUAUACAAAUAUCUAUUCAAAUUUGAUAUAAGUUAAAUGAUCACUUAUGUUCAUUCAAAGUAUAAAUUCAUAAAAAUCAAAUUGUAAGACACGUGUAUAUAGUAUGCCUACUUAAUAAUGUUUUUCAAUUGAAAUUAUUUCCAAUUACGUCUUCAUUCACACUAGCAUAAAAAUACUCGAUAAAAGUUAUUUUUUGAAGAUGGUGGUUUGAAUCUUUAAUUGUAAUAUUAGAUGCAUGUUACAGUACCUUAUGAUUUUCUAUUAGCACAAUAUUUAAAAUCGAGAAACGUGCACGACAAAUGAUAUUAAUAGCAAAAUAUAGAGCUCUAGAGAGAAUUGGCUGCACUGAAUUUGUCAUAAAUCGACGUUUUUAGAUCAAUUGAUUCAUUAUAGCUGUCAGCUGUGAUCAAUGAAAUUGAACCUAAAAAUCUGUUGCGUGAAAUUAAACAUAUGUGAAUGAGACUUGUGAGGUGGGUGAUAGUGAGAUGCAAAUUUUAUGCAAAACGAUUAUACCUCACAUCUCAACUAUGUAAAAUUACAACAUACAAUUUAUCGAUAUUCACUUGUCAGCUAAUUUACGGUAACAACAUUUAGGCCUCUGCGAUGGAUCCUCGAUCAAAAUGGCCACAUUACAAAUGCUAAGGAUAUUUGAUGAUUUAAACACUAUGAUCUAAGAAUCAUUCAUCAAUCAAAUCCAUACAGAAUCAAUCUUCAUCAUCUGAACUCUCAUAUGCUGCUAUCGAGAUUUUUAUCGGAUUAUCUACCUUUGUUUCUUUUUCAGUAUCAUUUGGUUUAGCCGGCAAGACAUCUUUCUGCUUCUCCUGAUUGGAAUCAUAAUUAAUACUAAGAAUAACUUGUGUACUUGAGAUGGAAUUACUCCCAUCAAACCUUCUAGAAACUUUCGGCUUCUUAGGCUUGACUCCUAAAACACUUUUUAGUAAAUCUUGCUGCCUGUAGACCAGUAUAUAUCUUAUUAGUUUGAAUAUUUGAAUACAAAAAAUUAUCAAUAUGUAAAGAUGGCUCGCCCUGCGAUUACUGGGGCACAAAAACUAGGAGAAAGAAAGACGAGGGAGAAGACAUGAAAGAAAAAGUGUCUAAAGUAAAAAUGUAAAAUUAAUCAAUUGUACAUGAUCCCACUUUUUGGCUUGGGCUCAACAGGAAGUGGCAGGGGAAUAGAUGCAGGUGAAGAAUCAACAAUAUCUUUGUUUAAACUAGUUAAGCAACACAUAGAAAAUGUAAACGGUUAUACAACUUGAUAACUGAAGAUAUCUUUCAUUUUUUGGGGGAUAAGUUAUAUGUGUCCCAACUUUCGUAAGCCACAACGCAUCCUCUCUGCUGGCAAAGCUAAAGUCUGACGGGGUAAAUCAUCAAAUUAACUUUUUAAUAACUUUAUGUGUAAAUGAAUUCAAUUUACAUCAAUUAGCACUCGCCGUCACCAUUCAAUAUUAUUAUCCAGAGGUAUCAAAGAAGGAACAAACAAAAAAGGAUAUCUUGAAUGCUUGAAAUGCACAUUUUUCCGUACCUUGCAGAAGGCGUUCACAUCUUCGUCAACUUCCAUCUGUUCCUUAAGGUAAAGUAAGUCAUCGUUGUCUAGGGAUGCAAAAUAUAACUUAAACAAGGUUCAAGAAACUAUUUCACAUUUUCAUUAUAUGGACAAACUAAUGUACCAAAAGGAGGAAGCAAUUAUUGUGAGCAAGAAUCUAUACCGCCUCUUCCAUGAAGGUAACCUCCAUGUUUCACAGCAACCUCUUGCAUCUAAACAUGUCAAGCACCCAGUAGGAAAAGCCAGGAUCCCUGUCAGGGCAUGUUAUCAGAACUUGAGGCAUGUUAUGAUGAAAAUUUUAUAAUAUAACCUGACCUUGAAAUAACUUUAGAUUACAAAUUUAUCUGACAUAUCUGAACUUCUGAACUUACAAUGAUUCAAGACCAACAUUUUUUUUCAGUAGUAGUAAAUAGUGUUAUAACAUAUCCCCAAAGACUUUCUGUAUCCAAAUAUACUGCAAAACGUCUUAUCUAAAUGCUAAUAGGUGGCCAUAAUAUUUUCCUUAUUUCAAUCCAUAACUCUUCUAAGUGGUUUACUUGGAAUAAUCAAGCAUUCCCCUUGCUAAAAAAAACAAAUUAAAUCUAGUUGCUUAUAUAAUUAACACAAAAUAAAUCUGUAGCUUGGCGUUCAGUAGCAGAAAGAGGAAGGAGAGUGGAGUAAAUACAAAGAGCAGUAAAUGCAAAAUGUUCUGAUUGCAGAUGCAGUCAGUUUCUCAAUUCUUCCAGAAUUUGAAAAUGAAAACUUCUUCAUUUUUUUCCUUUUGAUAGCUAGAAUAAGAGGAGAAAUACAAUUGUAUGAAAUCGAGGUUGUUGAUUUUACUGCAGAAGGUGGAGGCAAGGUGGUUGGGAGAUGGAGAAGGAGGAGGUUGGAAAAGAUGGUAACAGAGGAGAUAGAGGAGGAGUUAGUGGCGGAGGGGGAUGAUGGUAAUUGGGGUAAGGCAGAGUGUAAGUAAGAAAACUUGGAUGCUAAUUAAAUUAACAUCAUUAAUUCUUAUCUCAAAAGAGUUACUCCUAACCAAUAUAAAACCUGAGUCACCUUUUCUCAAAUAAAAGAUACAAACUUCACAUCAUCCAACAUAGAACAUGGUGAUCAUUCUAACAUACUCCUACUUUUAUCGUAAAUCGUGCCAUCUUUUCUGGAGUCCUUCAAUUCGUUGUUAACAUCUUCCUUACAUAUCAUUUAUUUCACUAUGCCGAUGAAAAAUCAUAUAUAACAAAUGAUCAAGUUUAUGAAAAACUAAGCAGCAUAUGCUAUGCAAAAAACUGAAACAUAUGCUAUGCUCGAAUUAUAAAUUGUUGCGGAGUUAAAAUAAACAAAUAACUAAACAGUCUCCUCCAUGUCAACUUAAAUUUCUAAAUUAAGGUGUGGUUCAAUAAGAUUAAUAGCUAAAGCUGCUAAACACAAUUCAACAUCAACUUUCAAGAGUUGCUAUGGAUUUAAUUUUGCUAAAAGCAGACAGAAUUCAAAUCAGAAAGCAAACCUCACUCACUUCUAAUAAAUUUAACAACCAUAAAAAGUUGAAGAAACGAGAUUCGCUAACCUUGGAAACAAUGCGUUGGAAAGUGACCUCCUCGCCAUCUAUCUUGUCCUUCCCUUUACCAAAUUUCUUAUCUGUCAAAUAUUUGUUUGCAUUUACAAUUUAAACCUAAAAUAGCAAAUCAAUUAGCAAAAAAUUAGCUGACAGUUACAUAUUUGUUAUGCAAAAAUACCUUUAGGAUCGGUUAGAUUGGUGUAUUCUCAAAAUUCUUUUCCUGCCAUGGCUUCAAUUGAGGGUUUAUUAUAAAUUGCAGAGAUUAUUAGCUCAACAUUGUGUGCUUUGAUUUAGGGCUUUUUUCGAAAUUGAGUAUUUUUCUUCUUUCUCUCUCUGUGAAUUUAUCCUCUUUCUAAAUGCGGAUCAACAGUCGGGUUAAGAAACUUUAUAAUAUGUUUCACACCACCAAUGUUAAUUGUAUGAGACCUCUUAAAUUUUGACAAAUGGAAAGUGGAUUUAAAAUUUACUUUUAAUAUAUAUAUAUACUAAGAAAAAUAUGAUUUUACAUAUUCUUUAGUGUUUAGUGUUUGAUAAAUAGUAAAUAUAACAAUAUCUUAAAAGUAUUUACAUAUAAUAUAAUAAAAUAUUAUGACAAAGGAAUAAGGUGGGGGGAUUUGAAGGUGAUAGAGACAAUGAACUAACAACAAUAAAAGAGUACAACAACUAAACAUAAUAAACAAAUGAUAAAUGUCAAAAGCAAAGAAACUACAAGAAUAAAGUUAAUAUUACAGACAUACACCGCAAAGUCUAAAUCUAUCAGAAAGCAAAACAUGUUUCAUUACCUACUAACCUUCUAUAUUAAUUUACAACCUCUAUAAUCUUAUUUAAUGUCGUAUAUUCAAUAAACAAAUAUUACAUCAUAUCAUGUUUAAUCACAUCUCCUUAUAAUUUUUUUGAUUUCCUCCUAUUCAUCGUAUAAAACCUCUCAAAACUCCUCGCCAAGACCCCUUCCUACCUCCCCUUCAUUAAUUCCAUAUCAAUAUGAUGUGUGACACCAUAAUUGAAAAUUUAUCAUGGUAAUUGAUAAUAAAAAUUAAUAAUCUAUAUAUAUAUAUAUAUAUAUAUAUAUAUAUAUAUAUAUAUAUAUGAAUCUUGAUCCGCUAAUGUGGCGCACUCCAAUGGUCAGCAUUUGUCAAUAUCUAUUUUUAUCUUUUUCUGAUUUAUUUUUUAUUUUUAUUUCAAAACAAAUAUAUAAAUGAGUAAAAUAUCACACUAAAUACUAUGACUAAUUACUUGCUCAGUUAUAGCCCAAAAAAUGCAGUCCAACCCAUUUAAAACUCAGCCCAAAUACAUCACAUUAAUUACCCAAAUUAAAUAGAUUUUAAAUCAAUUUUUUUAAAAAAUUACUCACUCCUCAAAUUUGAAAUUGUUAUAAAGAAUUAUUUGUUGAAUUGCUAUCUUUAGACUUUAUGGCAACAUUUAUUGUUAUUUCAAUUUAAAAACACAUUAUGAUUUUGUUAAAAUAUUUAUUACUUAUUCAAUCCAUAAAAGUUAUAGUUAUAUAUAAUAUAAAAUUAUUUCUUUCAUCUCCUUUAUUCGUUUUUAUAUUUAUUCUUUUCCUCUUUUAUUUAUUUUUACAAUUUCAUAUUUAUAACUUAUACCUAUUAAAUUUCUACUUUUAAUACUAUCAUUAACUCUUUUAAUAUUAAAUUUUCAUAUUCAUAACCCCCAAGUAUUUAAUUACAAUAUUUAAGACACUUUAUGAUAUAUUCUCAAAUUUUACCUUUAUAAAUUCAUAAUAUUUUGUACCGUGGAUCCCAACUCAAAAUUAUUCAUUUUAUUUCAAUGUUAAUCUUUAUAUUAUUAUGGGAAUGGGGAAUCCCAUCUUAUUAUUAUAGGAUCAUAUAUUCAUAUUCAACAUAUGUUGAUGAAGAAGACUCUUUGAUAAGAGUUUCAAAAAUAUGCACUAAUUCUGUAUUUCUAUUUUGAUGUAUUCUCUUGUGAUUAAUGUGUGUUCUCUCCAUGUAAAUUAAGAUUUUCUUAACUUUCAUUGUUAAUCUUUAUAUUAUUAUCGGAUCGAAUUUAUCUUGUGGCAUAACUUGAUAAAAAAGGUUUUUGAAUGUUAAUUAGUUUGUCAAAAGGGAUGUUGGAUAAGAGUAACAAAAAUUGUGCAUUGAUUAUGCAUUAUUACUUUCAUAUGUUUUCUUAUGAUUAAGGUCCUAAGGAAAAUGUGUGUUGUUUGUUCUCUCCAUGUAAAUCAAGAUUUUUUCUUAUUUCAUUGUUAAUCUUUAUAUUAUUGUAGGAUCGAAUUUAUUUUGUGGCAUAACUCAACGAAGAAGACUCUUGGAUGUUAGUUUGCCAAAAGGAAUGUCGGAUAAGAGUAACAAAAAUUGUGCAUUGAUUAUACAUUAUUAUUUUUAUGUAUUUUCUUAUGAUUAAGGUCAUAAAAAACUAAGAAAGAUAGAUGUGUUGUGUGUUCUCUCCAUGUAACUCAAGAUUAUUUUUUUUAUUUCAUUGUUAAUAUUUAUAAAUAUUAUUAUUAUUAUAGGAUCACAUUCAUCUUUUAGCAUAACUCGAUGAAGAAGACUUUUAAAUGUUGAUUAGUCUGUUAAAAAGGAUGUUGGACAAAAGUUCAAAAAAACUGUGCAUCGAUCUAUAUUUCUAUUUUUCAUUUAUUUUCUUGUGAUUAAGGUUAAGGAAGAUGUGUGUUCUUUUCAUUUAAUUUCUUUGGAUUGAGUUUUCAUUAUUUCUACUCAUGACCAUUCUUUUCACUUCAUAUUUGAAGUAGUGUUUUGCUAUUAUUAUUAUUAUUAUUAUUAUUAUUAUUAUUAUCAAAUUCUUAUGCUUGACUCGGUGAAGAAGACUCUUGAUUGUUGAUUAGUUUGUCGAAAAUAGUGUCGAUAAGAGUUUUAAAUUUCUACAUUAAUUUAUAUUAUUCUUUUCACUAUGUUCUUAUGAUUAAAGUCAUAAAAAUAUGUGUGUAUUAUGUUUUUUUUCAUGAAUUUUAUUAUGUUUGAAGUUUUAUGAAUUUUUUAUUGUCACAAGUAUGUACCUUUGUUAGAUACAAAUUAGUUAUUGUAAUUUUGUCUAUAAUAUGAUAAAAACUCACCUAUGUUCAAACAAUAUUUUGAUAAUUUUAAUAAUAUAUAUUAAAUGUUGAAAUAUAUCUCUUUUUAUGGUAUUUCUUAUGGCAAUAAGUAGUAUCAUUUAUGUUUUCUUCAAAUUUGUUCAAAAAAUUAUUGGUCCAUUUGAAGUACUUGCGAGUAGAGGAGGUGGCUUAUGAGUUAGCCUUGCCUCCAGGGCUGUCCGGAGUGCAUCCGGUAUUCCAUGUGUCUAUGUUGAAAAGAUACCAUGGGGAUGGAAACUACAUUAUCCGUUGGGAUUCAGUUUUACUUGAUGAGAAUUUGUCUUAUGAGGAGGAGUCUGUUGCCAUUCUAGAUAGAGAAAUUCGCAAGUUGAGAUCAAGGGAGAUUGCAUCCAUCAAAGUUCAAUGGAAGAAUCAACCCGUUGAAGAAGCCACUUGGGAGAAGGAGGCAGAUAUGCGAGAAAGAUACCCACAUCUGUUUACAGAUUCAGGUACUCCUUUUCGCCCUUGUUUUCCUUCUUGUGAUCGUUCGGGGACGAACGAUCGGUAAAUUGGUAUCUAUUGUAACGACCUGUUUAGUCGUUUUUAGCAGCAGAUUUUAUUUCUGAAAAAACAGGCUGAGGUGACGGACCCCACGACGGACCGUCAUGGGCACGACGGACCGUCGCAGGGUCUCGUUUCAAAACACUUAGAAAAUCUGAAAUUGGGUACUGAAAAUCGACUCUCUGAACUUCGUAACGGAAUAGCAGGACGGACCGUCACGAACCGACACGUAGAUUUAGGGAAUCGGGUGUCACGAACCGACACGUAGAUUUAGGGGAUCGGGUGUCACGAACCGACACGUAGAUUUAGGGGAUCGGGUGUCACGAACCGACACGUAGAUUUAGGGGAUCGGGUGUCACGAACCGACACGUAGAUUUAGGGGAUCGGAGUGUCACGUUCCGACACAUAGUAGUAGGGGAUCAGAGUGUCACGUACCGACAUAAGAGGAUUAAUGAAUAUGAGGGAGCGGAGUGUCACGUACCGACACAAGAGAAAUAAAGAUAAUGAAUCUUGAAAGAUGUUAAUAUACUCAAUCUAAUGAACAUAAUUCCCAAAUGAGUAUGAUAUUGAGGCUUGAGUUCUCAUGUGUGAACUUGACGGUAAUUGUUAAUGAUAUAGUACUUGUUGUUGCUACAUGUUGAGUAUCAUAGUUGAUUUUAUGAUAUUACUUAGUAUAUAUUGUUAUCUAUUUUGAAUUGGCCGAUGAUAUUUACUCAGUACCCGUGUUUUGUACUGACCCCUACUUUUAUUGUUUUCUUCUUGUUUAAUUGUGGAGUGCAGCAAACGUGCCGUCAUCUUCGACUCAACAGUAACUCUAGCCAGUCUUCGUCACAUUGGAUCUUCAGGGUGAGCUAAUGUUUCUAGCUUGGACUGGAUCUUCUUCCUCAUGUCUUGAUGCCUUGAAGUUCCGGCAUGGACUAGCUUUUAUGUAUUUUUAGCUUAUUAGAAUACUCUUAGUUUAGUAAUUUGAUCAUAGAUGUUCUUGUGGUGAUGACUUCCAGAUUUUGGGGAUAAUAAUAGUUAUUGAAUUGAUUUUAUUAAUGAGUUUAAGUCUUCCGCAUUACUUUCUGUUGAUAUUAUAUUGAAAUGUUAAGGUUUAGAUUGGUUGGUUCGCUCACAUAGGAGGGUAAGUGUGGGUGCCAGUCGCGGCCCGGUUUUGGGUCGUGACAUUUAAUAUACUAAGUAAUGAAUAUAUAUCUUAGGGUGUUCAUGUAUUAAUUUUAUAUAGAAAGAGGUGCAAUCAUUGAUCUGAGAAUGCAAGAAAUAUAUUUGAAAUGAAACAUAUUAUCAGAGUAUUCAAUUUAAUUAACUUUUGAAUUUUAUUAUUCUAUACACAUAAUAUGUGAAGAUGUUUAUUAUCUAUCAAAUAUUUUUAUGUAGUUUAUAUGAAUCUUUUAUCUUUAUAUUUAAUAUAAAAGAUAUAGAUUAAAAUAAGUAAACGAGUUAAUAAUUUUUUUGAAAAAACAUAUUCUCAUUCGAGGUUGAUUAUAUUGAAAUUUAAUAAUAGCGUAACAUUUUGGAUAACAUCCUUAAAAAACAAAUUUGACAAAUGAUAACAAUUAUCUUUGAUAUAGGUGCAGCUAAAGAAUCUAAAAUACCAAUAGAUGUGAUUCAUGCAAAAAUCAUACAAAUUUAAAUAGUAUAUUUGAAAAAGGAACAAAAACGAUUGAAAAAUGAAAUAUUCAAAUGAGUUUUAUCAUAUCAAUAUGAAAAAGGAUAACAAGACGUGUAGAUGUAUUUUAUUAGUAUUUUUUCAGUUAUUUAUAAUAUAAUUCUUAUGUACUCAAGAAAAAAAUUACAUCGGAGUAUAUGUUGUAAUAUAAAGAUUCAAACUCAUUGAUAUUCUAAUAAAAUGUAGAAAGUGACAUAUUAACUACAUGUCCAAACAAAAAAAUUACUAAGAAAAUAUAUAUUGACAUUUGACAUAUUGAUUAAUAAUGUACUAUCCCUCAUUUAAUAGAUUAUAGAUGUUAAAUUUGUUAAGUUUCAUUUCAAUCGUCAUCUCAAAACGAUAUUCAUAAUUAAUAUAUAAGUAAAAAAAAUAAAGUGAUAAUAUUACGUUUGAAAAUAAAGAGAGCUAUAGAAUUAAUUAAAAAAAGUAAUCCUUUAAUAUUUAUUUUAAAGACUGCGCGAAGCGCAGCCAAAUUCCCUAGUGUCUAAUAUUUGUAAAGGAUAAUUAAAUAGCUAAUAGUAAUGAUUAACUAUUAGUACUAUAUUUUAUGGUUGUUAUAGUAAUAUAAGGUUAAUAUAGAUGAUUAUAAAUGAUUGUUCGGUAAUGGUGGUUAGUGACUACUAAUUUACCAUAAUUAAUACUUAAAAAAGUAUAAUUUAUAAAGAAAAUUGAUAGUGCUAAAUUCAUUGAGAUUUAAAUUCUAGUAAUAUAAUGUAAUAAAAAGUAUAUGUUUUUAUUACCCCACUCAAGGUUGCAGUGAGAUGAUGACAAUCCCUUUUUAAUUAGAUUUUCAGUUUUAAAAUAUUAGAUUGAAAAGCAGGUUCGAAACUAACUUUGAUAAGUAUAAUAUAUGUCAAAAACGUUGAUUAACUAUAUUUUUAUUUAUCUUUUUAUAUAAUAUAUACAAAUUAUCUCGACUCCUAUCUUUAAUAACAUAUAUUUCAAAAUUAAUAAAUAAAAUUAUGAUUUGAAUCCUAUCUUUAAUAACAUACAUUUUAAAAUUAAUAGAUAAAUAAAAUUAUGAUUCAAAAUAUAUGAAUUAAAAACAAAAAAGUCUUAAUACACCAACUUUAAUAACUAUAUGAAAUACUUUACCCUAAAAUGAAACUUUUCAAAUGCAUAUCUUCUACAUUAAUAGUUACCCCAAAGAGGAAAAUAAUAGUCUCUUUAUAUUUUGGCCACAAGUAAAAAACAACUAAUCGCACUCGUGGGGGUUGCCAAAAAUGUGAGCUAGGGAUGAAAGGGUAAAAUAGUCCAAUCAAUUUCUGGCCAAAAUACCACUGUACGUAAAGUCUCACUUGGCCAGGGUUUCAAAAUUCACUCCAUCCGAAGGGAUCGGAAACUCUGUUUUCUCCGAUUGGGGUUUUGGGCAGUAUCCGAUCGAGCGACUUUCCGGCAUCAAUUCAUCGGAAACGGCAGCUGAAUCAAUCGGCUCUUCUACAUUACCCUUCAGAUAAAUCCGUACAUUUCUAUACAACUGGUAGGUUUAAUUGCAACGAAGAAGGAACACUAGAUUUAGAAGAAGGGCGAUGGAUUUGGACCAGUGGAUAACGAAGGUUAAAGAGGGACAGCAUCUGGCGGAGGACGAGCUUCAGCUCCUCUGUGAAUACGUAUGUUUAAUACUUUUAUCCUUUUUUUUUCUCACAUCUACAAGUAUUUUCCAGUUUUGUAAUGAAAUUUGUCGGAAUAGUGAAGAAAUAGAUGUAGAAGAUUCCUGUCGCUGAGCUUAAAUAGGUAAGGUUUGAAAGGUUGAUUGUGUUAUUUGUUGACACAUGUCUAUCAAGCUGUUUACUAAAACAAAAUAAUCAUAAAUUCUAGUAAUAGUAAAGGUUAUAUUGAUUUUUCUAUUUGGCUCAUUACUUUUGGGAAAGCUGUUUCUUUUGGGAGGAGAGCGGGGGGGGGGGAGUUAGCUUGUAGAUAUUGUUGAUUUUGUUUUUCGUUUAUAGGCUUGUGUGGAAGGGAGGAAUGUCAAUGGGGAAUAUUUAUGCACAUUCAGCAGAUUAGUCUCAUUUUCACUUGAGGAAGUUAAUGAUUUUCUUACGUGUACUGCAAGUGUUUUCUUUUGGAGCUUGAUUUAGAGACUGUUUUUUGUGAUCCGGAAAAUUUCUCUUAGAAAUCUAACCAUAAUAAUAUGUACCAACUGCUCUUGUUUUUCUCAUAUCUCCAUCUAGUGGACUUAUUUUAUAGGGAUCGGAUUUGCAUGUUAACAAGAUAUGUUCCCCAUUAAUUUCAAAAGAACAAAACUCAUUUAACCUCAUAGGAAUCGGUAGGUUUACCCAGUAAAAACUUCAUGUUGGUUUGUCAAUUGCCCUUUCCUUUGCAUACUUCAUGGCAUUUGAUCAAAUUUCAAGGUUGAUAAACAUGACGGUGGGUGGGUGGGGCAGUAAUAGUGGCAAAGUGGUAUUCAGAAGGAAAAAGUUUCAUAGGCACUAAUUGGAAGUACAAAAUAAGCGAUGAAUAGGCUAUAAAGCAUAAUUAGUUUGUAACAAGAACCCAUUGUGACCUACAUAGUAUUGCUGCAGGACCGCCCUUCCUUUCAAGUAGUUGCUUCUAACAAAGAUUAUUGCAACCUGAGAUCUUUGAUUAUUCAAGCUAUUAGUAAACUCAAGCCUUUAUUCAUGCUUCCAUGCCAUCCAUUAGCCUACAAAUUUAGAUAAUGUGACAAUAUUUGGUCACGCUUAACACAUACAAUUCAGCUAUAUGACUAUUGGGUUUAUUCCCUGGCCUUGCCAAGACAAAGCCUGUUAUGAAGGUUUACAGAUCAAUAGAAUGCUUUUGAGAUGGGAGGAAAUGGAAAUAUAGGGGAGGCAUUUGCUUAUAUUUGUUGGGUGGAUGUAUAUUAGAGUUCCUCAGUUAUAGUUUUUGUCUUAUUUAUUUUGAUUAGGUGGUUAUAUUUGUGAGGUAAGUUCCUUCUCGUAUAAUUCCAUGAUUGUUUCGUGUAUCAUUUCACUUCCUGUGGUACUAUUAAUCAAUCCAGCAUAACAAGAGCUUGUCUUCUUUUGACAUGCAUGAUUGAGAGUCAAGAAUAACAAGAAUGACUACCUGAAGUAUGAGUCAUUACGCAAAUAAGUGGAGGUCUAAAUUGCUUCUUCUAUAGACAUCACUCAGAGAGAAGUGUUUGAUUGCUUGUGGCACAUGAUACUGAUGGUGCAUUAGAUUGGUAUCUUCUUCCUGCACACCAAUCACAUUAACAAUAGUCAUUGGGGUUAUGGGUUGUAGUAGGCAGAUAGUUCUUUUUGCAUUUGUUCAAUUAUGUUUACAGCCUUGCACUUCAGUAUCACAUCUAAUUUUACUUGAGAGCAUGCAUUGUAUUUCAUUUGUGUCUAUAACAUGUGACACUUUUUCACAGGUUAAGGAGAUUUUAAUUGAGGAGUCAAAUGUGCAACCAGUUAAUAGUCCAGUUACUGUUUGUGGGGAUAUACACGGCCAAUUUCAUGAUCUAAUGAAACUUUUCCACACUGGUGGUCAUGUGCCAGAGACAAAUUACAUCUUUAUGGUAAAAUUCAUAUGGUUUAUUCCUCGUCCAUAGAUGGACGGUUACGGAUUAUCUUUUGAAAAAAUUUAUGCCAGGAUUCUAGUUCACCCAUCUCUCAUAUUUGGACAGGGAGAUUUUGUUGAUCGUGGAUACAAUAGUCUCGAAGUUUUCACAAUUUUAUUGCUCCUUAAAGCAAGGUAUGGUAAGAAAUAUUUAUAUAGAAUUUGCAUCACCUGUCUACUUUAGGAAAAUGGUUUUAUUGCUUAUUCCUUACUGUCUCAUGAGGAAUCAUUAGGUUGAUAAAAUUGUUAAUUGCACUGUGAACUUUGUGCUGUGGACACAUAUAUUUUGAUAAACGUUCUAUUAUCUUUUAAAUAAAAUUACCGUAGGUACUGUUUUCUUUUUCAAAUCAAUUUGAUGAUCAUGGGAAGCAUUGAGCUUUUAUAAUAUUCAUGUUUUUGCCUAUAUUUUAUGAUGGUUCCCCUUCUCUUGUUCUCUGUCUUCCACUUUACCCAGUAUUUUCAUCUUCAACGAUUGACUCAUAUUAUCUUCUUUGCCUCAGUUGAGCAAAUUUGAAUUUUGUAUGGCACUGGCCGCUGUUGAUUUUCCUGCUAGUCUAUUGAAAGGUGAUAGGGCAUUGGUUCUUAUUUAUCUACCUUUUGUUUUUAAUUUGCUACCAGAUAUCCAGCAAACAUUACACUUUUACGCGGGAACCAUGAAAGCAGGCAGCUAACUCAGGUAUUAGAUGUUAUGCUUAGAUAUAGCUAUUUAAGAAGUGUGUGUUUGACGUAAGUACCAUAGAUGCGCUUGGGAUUCUUUAUUAUAACAAUUUUUUUGAAGCCAUUCUUGACCCCUCCCCAAAUUUAAAAAAUACUUGUUCCUUUUUCUUCUUAAAGAAGCAAUUGUUCUGUUGCUGUCAUUGGGUUGUCUGACUAAAUCUGCAGACAGCAGAUCUAAAAUUGGCAGUAUGGCUCCCAAGGCCAUUGGGAGUUUGACUUGUUAUUGGGAAAAAACAAGAUUCUUCUGUUUUGAAGUACAAUUUUAUACCUAAUUUGCGUUUCUGGCUUAAGAGCGUUUUGCUAGAGUGUCCAGCUCAACUUUUGGAAUUCUUGGAUUCUCUAAUGAUGUAAUACAGAAAGUAGACUGCGACCCGACUUCCUUAAUUUAUGCUAGUACCAGCUUGGUACCAUUAUAUCAAUAAUCUACCUUACCUUACCCCAAAAAAAAGAAAGAAGUCCCCAAGGCCUUUGAUCUGUAUUAGUGAUAAGGGUAUAAGGGGAUGUGUUGGUAGGGUGAGUUUGAACCCUGCUGCUGCUGAUGGAAGUUUGGUAUUUAAGUGGAGGCAAAAUAAAGGGGUGGGACCAUACACACCUGAUAAAUAAAAGAAGAAGAGGGUGGGGCCAUACUCUGCUGAGUUUCAAACUUGUGGGUCGAUAGGAGUUGGGCCAUCUAAUACAUUGUACUUCUCAGUUAUAAAAAAAUGAUAGAGAGAAAAUUGAGCUGGCCGUUACUCUCUGUGAGGGUUUCUUUUUUUUGAACUCACGCUUGGACAAUGUUUAAUACUCUCUUGUAUUCUUAAUGAUUACUGUUGUUGCAUUCUAUGCUCAUUGUAUUUAUGGGUUCUAGCCUUGAAAUAUCAGUAAGGCGACUCAUGAUGACUGUGUUGCAAAGGCCUAACUGGAGUAGCCUUUGAGCUUGGUGCAGCUAAUGUUGAUGCAUUCUGGAGGAAGCUUACUUUGUAACUUGAGUUUUAUUCAGUAUUUGCUUAUUACUUUUAUUGUUGUUGCUGCUGCUCUUAUUUUAAGUUGAUACCUUUGAUUUUGUUCUGUCCACACUUAGAGUUCUUUGAAGAUUUGCUUCUAUGGGAUGGAUUUAUGCAUGGCAUGCAAAAGAUCACACCUCCUAGACAUGUUAUUUCUGAUAUUUACUUUCUACCUGUUUUUAAUAGGUCUAUGGAUUCUAUGAUGAAUGCCAAAGGAAGUAUGGAAAUGCAAAUGCUUGGCGGUAUUGCACUGACGUAUUUGACUAUCUGACUCUCUCGGCAAUUAUAGAUGGAACAGUAUGUUCUGGUACUCUUGAUAAGAUAAUAAUUGUUUGGCCAUAUCUUUCAUAUAUUAAUCCGCCUGUGUUCCAAUUCAGGUACUAUGUGUCCAUGGUGGCCUUUCUCCGGAUGUUAGGACUAUUGAUCAGGUAGCUGACUUGAAUGUUGACGUGUUUUGUUUUUUUACUGUAACAAGUUUCAGAUUGUUCAAGUGUAUUGAUGUGAUAUAUCUUGACUUAGGCGAUGGAAUUAAUAUGCGGGAUCAUAAAGAACUAAUAUUGAUUCUUGGUUAUCCACUGAGUUUUGAAUCUAGAAACAACAGAUUUAUCGGUUAACCAAAAAACAAACAAUCAAGGAACUGAUAUAGCUUCUUUUUGUUUAUGACAUGCAGAUCAGGGUCAUUGAUCGUAAUUGUGAAAUUCCGCAUGAAGGGCCUUUUUGUGAUCUUAUGUGGAGUGAUCCUGAAGAGAUUGAAACAUGGGCAGUAAGUCCUCGAGGAGCAGGUUGGCUGUUUGGAUCCAGGGUUACCACUGAGGUAAGUGGGUUAAAGAUGUUAGAUAUUGCUAUAUUUCCUUUUCUAACAAUGUUCUCAUGCCAUGCUUGCAGUUUAAUCACAUCAAUAAGUUGGAUCUAGUUUGUCGGGCUCAUCAACUUGUCCAGGAAGGUCUGAAGUACAUGUUCCAGGACAAAGGACUCGUUACUGUGAGUACUGAGUAAUAAAUUGUUUAUGGCAUGUUGAACAUACAUUCUUUUUAACAUGUAGUAAGUAUAAUUAAUGUGACCCGUUUCCUUUGAAUGCGAAGGUUUGGUCUGCUCCCAACUACUGUUAUCGCUGUGGAAAUGUUGCUUCAAUAUUGAGCUUCAAUGAGAAUAUGGUACUUUUGCUCUUUUCAAUGCUUAUUCAACUUCUAGUUAGCCUUUCUAAAAUUAAGGGAUUACAUAGUAAUGCCCUUUCUGUUUGAUUGUGUAUUCUGACGAUCGUUGUACUUCAAAGUGAUGAGUACCUAUUUUUUUAAAAUUGAUCUUGCAUUUCAUGAUUCAACAUGGUAUGUGUUACGUUAGGUUAAAUUGAAGUUUGCCUAUUGUAGUUGGAUCAUAGAAGGGUGUUCAUCCUAGGACUUCAUUACUAACCUUGUUUCUUAUCAGAAAAUUAUUGAUGGAAAUGUGUCAAAGGAGUGCUGAAAUACUUAUAUCAAAAUUUCUUAAUGAUCUAGGAAGUAUCACGUUCCAGUAUAAAGGGUUGGAAAUGUGAUGCGAGAUUCUGAUGCCGACCUUUCCUUUGAUAAAGUUCCUUGUGGAGCUGCUUUAGUGCUCUCUCUUGGUGACUAGUAUUAGUAUUAGAAGAUUUUGAUAAGAUUUGUUUACAACUAUACACUAGAAACAUGGAGUGUAAUUGCAUAGGUUGUACUGGCUUAGCUAUGUGGUAAGGAAGAUGGAGAGAACAUGGAACGUUUUAGGUAGUUUCUCUUUAGAGCAUUCUCCACUGGCAGUUGUUCUAUGAUCUGAACUCCAGCUUUUGGAACGUCUAGUGUUAGCGUUGCAUAUCUUUAUAUCUAUCUGUUUAUUUAUGUUUUCCUGACAACUUUUUUUAUAAUGGAAUUUUUGCUGUGUUUGAUAGAAUCUUUCUUAUUCUUAUUUUUGUUCUGUUUUAUCAGGAGAGAGAGGUGAAGUUCUUCACUGAAACUGAAGAAAACAACCAGAUGCGAGGACCCAGGACAGGAGUACCUUAUUUCUUAUGAGUGCGUACUUGCCUUUUGUUGAUUGAUAUUAUUUCUGCACUCUGUGCUGUCCCUUGUUAGAGGGAAAUUGAAGCGGAAACUAUCUACUUGGCGGGAACCAGAUUGCUGUGUGGCUUGCUUCUCUCUCAUAAGAUGGCGAUACAUACCUAGCUUGUUGGGCUGAUCCUGCUUUCGAAUAGUUUGUGCUAUGUAUUCACAAUGGCCUUUUCAUGUUUGUUCCCAUCUGUUCCAUAAUUAUUCUUACCUGUGUCAUAGUUUGAACUCUACCUCAAAUCAGAUUACGAGAUGUUAGAUUUCUUCUUGCAAUGCUAGAGUACACUUUCCUUGAAAAAUGGGUCCAUUUACUUUCAAAAGCGCAGUAUUAGAAGUUGGUGGUACACUCACGAAAUUGGCAUUUGUUUUGCCCUCCCAGAAGGGGACUUUAGUUUUUUCCACAAAUUAGUUCACACCUUUCAGCUUCACUGUACCAAAAUCCCAUUAAUUGUUGUUUGUGCAGCAACAUUUCACGAUUAUUUAUCAUCGUAAUUACUGUUGAUCUUCACUCUUCAGUUCCCGUAUGCUCCUUUCCACCAUUCAUGGAAGCAAGGAGUACGUAAGGAACUUCUCGUCUCAUUAAUUGAAUCACCAUUUGUUAACUACAACUUCCAGCAGGUUGGCUUUGAAAUUGUUUACUCUGGUGGGAUGAUUGGUAAACAUGUGAGUUAUGCACAUAUAUAAUACAUGAAUGAGUUGCUUAAAUGUACUGAUUAUAAUAUAUGAAUUACUACUUCAUAACAAAAAGACAAUGAAGAAAUUGAGCAAGUUGCAGAAAUAACGAUUGUUUCAGCUCUAAUUAUCAAUCCUAGACAACGUUAAUUUUAAAAAAAUUGCAAUACAAUGCAUCCAUAGAUAAUUUCUCUUAUCUUUUUUCCAAAAAAAAAAAAAAAAUCGUCCAAAACAGGUACACGCAGCACCUUUAGGAAAAAAAGAGCAGGAUUUUGAUUUUAAUUUUACAUUUACCUUCACAGCUUGGAUAAUUGUCAUCCUUUCCGCUUCUAAUUUGGCAAAUUGGGUAAAAGUUAGUGAUUGCCUUGUUGUGCCAUAGUCGUAGUCUCUCCAGCGGCAGUAAAGACGGCCAACUGACACCAUUCUCUCCGGCGAACUCGAGUUGAAGGUACAUUUUUUUGAAUUCAUUACCAAUUAUUAAGUGAAAUUAAUAGCAAAAUCCUGCAGUACCCUAUUUCAAGUUGCUUUGUUUGCGUACACACUCUUUCAUUUUGAUUGAUAAUUUCUAGCUAUUAACUUGUGGAAGUAAGAAAACUAGUUGGUACAUCUGGAGAAACCUCUUUUUUGAUGAUUUUUUUUCUCUCUCAAUUUUCUGGUGGAGGUGAGGGGUGGUUAAAGCCAUUUGUGGCCUUUGCACUGGCUUAUCUCUUGGCUUUUGUAGAGAUUCAAUUGAAGAUCUUCCUAAUUUUUUCUUUGAUUGAUCAGCUGGUGUGUCCUUCUGACUUGUGAUAUAUUUUUAUGCUUUCAUUCUUGUUCUUUUUUCAAUAAAUGUGGUGUUUGAGUCAAUUUGUAUGCAUCUCGACUAGUUUCACGGGUAUUUACUAUCUGCUAUUUCCUACCAACAUAGAUAACGUGUAACUCUGUUCAUCAGUGCUUGUACAGAUAGGUAAAAAUCACCUAAUGUUUUUGUUUCACUGUGAUUAAACUUGUAUCCUCGUAGUUAUCAAUAUAUGGUAUGAUUUUCGUCUUACUUGAUUUUGAUUUUUGAAGGAUGGAACUAAUUCGAACGAUAAAAGACAUUUUUCUUAUCUUUAUCAAAUUCCUUUUUGUGCUACAGAGUCAGAAGAUGCAUGAAUGAUCUGCAUGCAAGAAUUUAUUAGAUUGGGGUAGAUGAUAUAGUUCUUCAUUGUAAUAUUUUGCAACUCAUUUUUAGGUACAUUGACCUUUGCUUUCAGUUUAACUUGGAGGACUGUUGUAAAAAGCCAUUUGCAUAUAAGUUUCUAGUCAAAUAAAUUUCUUACCCCCAUUUUUUGGUUCACUUUCACUUAAUUAUUAUGUUUAGCUUUUGGAGAGUCAAAUUGUAUUGACUUUCAUCAACACUUUACGGUAAUUUUAUUUGUUAUAUUAAUAUGAGAAUCUCGAGAAAGAUUAUAACUUAUAGUAUUUUUCUUUUAGUUUUUAAACAUUUAAAUUUAAAAUUUUGAAUUAAUCUAAUUUAGUUUAACUUUAAAAAUUAGUUAAAUUGUAAUGCCUAUCAACAAUUAUUAGGAUUUACGUCCCUUAAAUCAUUUUUGUUUAUCCAAUAUACAAAAAAAUAAAUAUUUUAUUUUAUUUAUUCAAUUAAAAAAUACUUAAAAAACCUAUUUUACUCUCAUUACGAAAUACUAUUUAUUUUUAAUGCAUUUUUAUAACAUUAAAUUUAUUAUAUUUAAAAAAUUUAUAGCAAAUUUAUUAUUUUAAUAUUUUUCUUUUAAGAAAUGUGUCUAAGUCAAAACAUUGACUAAUAAAAAUGGUGGGAGGAAGUAAAUGAUAAUUGAGUCAACUACUAUUAUAACAAUUACUAUUAGUGUUGUUAAAUGAUUUUUCCAAUCAUGAUGCUAAAACAUUAGGAGAUACUUAAGAUGAGUCUGAGUAUGUAUUAUUAAUGUUAGUAACUAUUUUUUCUUUUAGUUGUCCAAUUUGAAUUAUGAACACUUCUUAAAAAAAAUUAUUUGAGAUGUAUAUUGUAUCAUAAUAUUCAUAUUAAUUAAGUAGUAUUUAGUCAUAAAUUGCAAAUAAAUUAUUAAAUAUUAAGAAUAAACUAUUAAAAAAUAAUAUAUUAUUCCAAAAGUGAUUGGGAGCAAUAUAAUAAAAGAAUAAAAGUGAUUGGAGGGAGUAUUGUAUUAAAAUAUGAAGGUUUGACUUUUUUUUACUAAUAUUUUCCUUCUUGCCCCCUCUAACUAAUUUAUUUAUACAUAUUGCCCCAUAAACUAUGACUUUUUCCGUAAGACCCCCUCAUCUUUUGUUUUGUCUCAUUACCCAUUCACUCUCUUAUUUUAGGCGUAAUUCAAAAACUACCCCAAAUUCUAGGGUUUCUUUCACUUCUCAGUCCCGUCUUCCUUCCUUCUCAAUUUCCGUCUUCUUUCUCCUAAAUUACAGGUUCUGCAGUAAAUUUGCAAUUUUUUUUGUUUUUGUUUUGCUGUCUUACAUUGUCUGAAGAUUCUGCUUGAAGGUAACCAACUUGCUGGGCGGUGAAUUCUGCGUUUGAAUUGUUUGCUUUAUGUAUUUGCAUGGAUGAAGUUUUUGUCUUUUCCUGUUUUUAUACGAACUAGGCAUGCUAGGAGUAGUAUUUUGUAUCAGCUGAAUGAUGAUUACAGUGUUCAUCAUUUUUCAAUCUUCCAACUACUUAAAAGGAAAAUGAAAAAGAAUAAAAUUACACUGCUUUUGAGUCGGACACAGUCUCUCUAUCCCCACAAAGGUAGAGACAAGGUUUGUGUACCCUCCCUAGACAUGACUUGUAGGAUUACACGAGGUAUGUUGUUGCUUUUCCUUUUAAGUUUGCAACAAGUGAUAUUUUAGGAGUUUAGAUUCUCUAUUUACAUAUACAACAAAAAAAGAAAAGAGAGUAUAUAUUCUAUGAUGUUGUUUACUCACGAUAAUUUUGUAAGCUUGCCUUUUUUUCGAAACUUAUAUAGUCCCUCUAAAGGAGCUAAAAUAUUUAAAGCAUACAUACCUUUCCACUAUUCAUUAGUCAUGCUUAUGUUGGUGAACAAGAUUUAAACUUUGUUAAUUAGGUGACCCCUACACGCUUCUAUGUAGUUAUGUGAGAAGCAUAUUUCUCUAGAUGCGGAGUAAAGGAGAUACCGGAAGAAUGUAAAAUUAUGAUUUCGUGGAACUGUUUUUAUUAGAAUGACAUUAGAAUUAUGCUUGAUACUAACAUCCAGAUAUACAUGUAAUUUUUUUAAUAUCUACUCUAUACAAGGAGUGCAUGCAUGCCAAUUUCUGGCUAUCUAUAGGGCACCAAUAAAAUCGCAUGGGCUCAUCAUCUGGUGCAUGACUGAUGCGAGAGGAAGAAUCAGGAUUGAUAGCUUUGAAGAACCAGUGGAAAUGAAAGUAGUCAAUCUACCAAUGAACCUUAUCACCACGGGGGGAGGGGGGGGGAUAGUAUUCAAAAAAAGAAAUUGAGAAUCAUCAUAGCACACUAGAUAAAAUUAAUCUGAAUAUCCUAGAAUACCUCAUAUCGCUGAUUGUGACCUCAAGGUUACCAAAAUUUAUUUGGCAGUUCAGUACUUAUUAGGACCUGUUUGACCAUAAAAAUUAGUAACUUUUUCCUGGGAUAAUUCACUUUAUUUGAACUUCAGAAUCAUAGUCGAUGAUAACAUCACUAUGCCCAUCACUAUUACAAAAUCGUAUGUGAGAUUUUCACCUCAUAUGCUCUUUAGAGGUCACAAAUAAAUCUAUGGGUUCUUUCUUAUCUGGAUAUGUUAGUCCGAAAGUGUCAAAAUCUAUCUUAAGGUCCCAAAUUAGACCAAUGGAGUUCUGUCUGCUAUAUUUUAAACUAAUAAAUAAGUGCUUAUGAGUGAUAUCAUCUUUUAAGAAUUUUGAUUUUGCUUUGUUGAUUAAUAACUUUAUCAUUAAAUAAAAUCAAUAAAAUGCACUUUAUAGCGAUAUCACAUAUACAUUUCAACCUCGACUUUUCAAUUACUAAAAAAGAUUGGAGAGUCCAUUAGCUCAUGAAUCAUGAUAAUUUAUUUUAUAUCUCUAAAUAGAAAUCAAUUUUUUACUCUGAUGUUUGCAUUAAUCAAUCCGGCAUUCUCUUUUCUGCUUCAUCCACCACCACUCGUGUGGAGGCUUCUCUCUAAGUUGGGAUGCUCUCAUACUGAUGUAUUUUACAUCCCACGGUUUUGGCAGAUCGCUUAGCCUCGUCCAUCUUCGGCACAAGAGCGCUCAAAGGCCAUUGAAAAUCCCAAAAUGAAGUUGUAUAUCAAAUUCGAAAAACAUCUUCUCACCUGUUUCCAACUCACUUUUCGCUUUUGAAGUUGUAUUUAAGUACAUUCAAGUAUGAACACUUUUUCAAAUAUUCUUUUUUUGCAAAAAGUAUAACCAAACACAACUAUAUCGUCACUCCAGUUUCAUGAAUUCCAAACAAAGUGAAAAAUAUUUGGAAGCUAUGACCAAAUGCCUACCAAGAGUUUCUUUUGGCUUUUGAGUGGUCAGUAAGUAGGUGAUUGAAGGCUGUCUAGUUCCCUUAUUAGUAUGGUUAUUAUUACUUUCCUACUAUCAUAUAUUUUUUCUUAGUUUUAGUAUUACAUGUUAUUUCCUUUGCUUGGUUUUCAUAUUAUUUGUUGCUUCCGUUUGCUCUCUUUUAAAUAUUUUCAGUAUGACUUCUUCGCUAUUGCAUUUGCUUUACAUACUUGUUUUUUGAUACUUGAGCUGAGGGUCUAUGGAAAACAACCUCUCUAUCUUCACAAGGUAGGGGUAGGUUGUGCAUACACCAUCCUCCCCUCCCUAGACCUCACUUGUGAUUACACUAGGUAUGUUGUUGUCAGUUGGAUAAAGAGAUGAUUAGCAAUAUGUCUGCACACUUAAUUAAGUUGGAUGCAUGCAAAUUCAAAUGAGUUGAGUUCCUCAUAUGAGUGCUGAUGCAUCAUAAUCUCUAGAAUCAUCCUUCUUACAUGGCAUCUCACACGAUGAACGAAAUAAGAUAACUGUAUUGGAGGAACAUUGACACUGGUCAUUUUUAAGUUUUUCUUUUCCUGACUUUUUUCCUGUUUGGCCUUUGAAGAUUUAUGCCAUGGUGAAGGGAAAGCUUAUUUUAAUUUGUCAGUCUGGUGGUGAAUUUGUGAAUGAUGUCGAUGGAAACUUGUCAUAUAAAGGAGGAGAGGCAAAUGCUGUCAAUAUAAACCAAGAUACUCCAUAUGAUGAUCUCAAGAUAAAAUUGGCAGAGCUGUGUAAUCUGGAGCUUACGACAGUGUCAAUUAAGUAUUUUCUUCCAAAAAAUAGGAAAACUCUUAUUAAUUUAAGGAGUGAAAAGGACUUCAAGAGAAUGGUUGAAUUUCAUGCUAAUUCUGUUACAGCUGAGAUUUUUGUCAGCGGAAAAGAAGGUUUUGAUCACGAUGCAUUGAACACGUACAAUGAGAGGUAUUAACACUAUCAUGUUUUAAUUAUGCAUAUACAUUAGUUUUGCUUAUUGAUAAAUGUGAUUUGGUAACACGGGCCUGUUGCCAGCAACUCUAUAUUACUGCUAAAGCAAAUUGUUAAGUUAAUGGCACAUCACUGGUAGUGUAGUAUAUAUGUAAUUGACAUCCCGUUUGGUAUCUCAAUCAACUGCACUUGCAGGACAAUUGCCUUAAAACUGGCUGAGAACGUAAAUCAUCAUGGCACACCUGCAGGUGCUGCUGAUUCUGGCGGUCUGAGUACAACACCUUCUAAGGCUAGCCUGCUAAGGACUGUUCGAACAGCUGCUGUCUCUCCUAUAGCUAUUCAAAACGAUUGUCUGGUCGAUGUACAUAUCAGCUGCCAGGAACCUGCUAUUAAUAUGGCAGCUGAAAGCCUCAGUCAAACCACUACUUCGUCAAACCCUUCUUCUGGCCAUGUUGCUGAGGAGGAUUCUGACUAUGCUCCACGUUCACGUGCUGCUGUUAGUAGUACUGCCCAGAGCCCAAUUAGCUUUGACUACGAUGCUACCCCUGCUGAUACCGUGAAGAAGCGCAGGCGCACUGCUUCCUGGAAAAUUGGUGCCAAUGGUCCAACCAUUGUUGUGACUGAUAAUGAUUCUAAGGAGAAAUCGCGAAAGAAGAAGAGUCGAAGUUCAACUGGCGUAAUGGUGGGAAAUGACAUGGAGGAUGAAGAUGGUGUUGAAUUACCUGAUAAUUUUGACAGUUCCUCUCCAAUUACUUUGCGGGAUGAAGAUCUGCCAGAGAAGCUAGUUGCCACUUGGAAAGAGGGUAUUACUGGUGUUGAUCAGGAUUUUAAGAGUGUGAAAGAGUUCCGGGCUGCACUGCAAAAGUAUGCUGUUGCUCAUCGCUUUGUCUACAAGUUGAAGAAAAAUGAUGCUACCCGUGUAAGUGGCAGAUGUGUGGUAGAGGGUUGUUCUUGGAAAAUUCAUGCAUCUAGGGUCCCUGAUGCUCAAACAUUUAGGAUCAGAAAGUAUAAUGAUUUGCAUACAUGUGAAGGCAAAUCCUGGAAGUCUUCUCAUCGUACAAGGAAUUGGUUGGUAAGUAUCAUCAAGGAAAGGUUACGAGAUUCUCCAAAUGACAAACCCAGGGAAAUCGCUAAAAGCAUUUUGCGUGACUUUGGGAUUAAAUUGAGAUACUCACAAGUAUGGCGAGGAAUGGAAGAUGCCAAGGAGCAGCUUCAAGGUUCAUACUCAAAGUCAUAUAACAGGCUGUCUUGGUUCUGCGAAAAGGUAGUAAAUACUAAUCCUGGAACUGUUGUUAAGCUUGUGCUAGACGAUGAAAAAAGACUUCAGCGCUUCUUUUUUUCACUUCAUGCCUCCAUUCAUGGUUUCAAGCACGGUUGCCGACCCCUUAUUUUCCUUGAAGCCACAUCUCUAAGAUCAAAGUACAAGGAGACUUUAAUAACAGCAACUGCGGUUGAUGCAGAUGAUUGUUUCUUUCCUGUUGCUUUUGCAGUAAUAGAUAUUGAAAAUGAUGAUAGUUGGCGUUGGUUUUUGGAGCAACUAAAAUCUGCAUUGUCAACUUCUCAUUCUAUAACUUUUAUUUCAGAUCGAGAGAAGAAUUUAAAGAACUCUGUGUUUGAGGUGUUUGAGAAUUCUUCUCAUGGCUAUUCCAUUUUUCAUCUUCUGGAAAGCUUCAAAAGAAAUAUGAAGGGUCCAUUCCAUGGUGAUGGGAGAGCUGUUCUACCUGAAAUUUUCCUUGCUGCAGCUCAUGCAGUUCGACUUAAUGGUUUUAAAAGUUUGACUGAGCAAAUUAAACAGAUUUGUUCACACGCAUAUGAUUGGUUGAACCAGAUUGAGCCCGAGUGUUGGACGAGUUUGUCAUUUAAAGGUCAGCACUAUAACUAUAUCACAGAGAAUGUUGCAGAACCAUACUCCAAGUUGAUUGAGGAUUCUCGAGGAUCAACAAUAAUGCAAAAGAUAGAAGCCCUAAUAUGUAUGCUCAGUGAUCUAAUAGAUCAUCGUAAAUUGGAGUCAAGUACUUGGUCCACCAAACUUACUCCAUCAAAAGAGAAAAAGAUGCAGAAAGAAGCUGCUAAAGCCCACGGUCUAAAAGUUCUAAUCUCUUCUGAUGUCUUAUUUGAAGUUCAUGAUGAGAUGACUCACGUUGUGAAUAUUGAAAACCGUGAGUGCACGUGCUUUGAGUGGAAACAAAGUGGUCUGCCUUGCUGCCACGCUGUGGCUGUGUUCAACUCUAUUGGUAAAUCUGUGUAUGAUUACUGCUCGAGUUACUUCACGGUUGAAAGUUACCAUUUUACAUACUCUGCAUCUGUAAACCCGAUACCUGGGAUUGGAACAGCAGAUGAAGAAGAUGGCGAGUCAGAUACUGCAGAUGUGCUACCCCUUGCCCUCCAGAAUUGCCGAUAGAGGAAAAACCAGAGCAGACCAAAACUAUGGACCCAGAUAAGAGGACAGUAACUUGCAGCAAGUGCAAGGAACCAGGACAUAAUAAAGCUUCAUGCAAGGCCACUUUAUAGAUCCUUUGCUCCCCCCAUUGUUUGCAUCUUGUACAGCUCUUAUAGUUACAUGGUAGUGACUUGUGAUGUAUUGCUCAUCGUCGCGCUCUGAAUUUCUACAGUACCAUUAUCGAUUUAUUUUCAUUUGAAAAAACAUAAUUUCUGGGUUAUUGAACUCAGAAAGCAAGGUGUAAGAUAAGACGAUGGUAGUACUAUUUUUGGUCUCAAAAGGGUAUGAAAGCUCUUCUCAUAGCUUGCAAAAAUGAAUUUUAUAUUCAGACGAUGAGUUUGCGAAUUGUUGUGUUACACGGCAUGUAAUAAAUUCUCAUUUUUUUUUACUAGAAGUGGGAAUUGUUUUGCUCCAUUCACAACGAGGCUCAAGCAUCUCAUUCUUUUAGUUAAUUUCAUCCUUUAUUUAAUCAAUUGAUAUCUGUGAUUUACCUAGUUAGGAAUUUUUUACCAAGAUUUGAACUCGAAUUAGAUGGUCAGAAAAUCUUAUAUAUGUUUUUACCUAUAUUUUUAAAAGUUUGAAUUCAGUGGGAGACAUUGUUGUACUUCUUAUCUUUUUCUUGAAAAUCUUUGUAAAGUAAUUUUUUCUGACUUGUUCAAAUAAACAAAAGAUGAAGUGAUGAAAAUGUUAACAUCGUUUGAAACCAAAACUGAAAAGAAAACUCCACUCAAUUUAUGAUAAUAUAUGUGAAUUUUCUAUGACGUAGGUUUUCCUAUUUAUUUUUAAAAUUUUUCAUAAUUAUUCAAUUUUUAUCCAAACUAUUCGAGACUCAAAUCAAAUUGUGUAUUUAGGAUUUGUUACCAACCAACCCAGAGUACCUAACAACACAGCCUUCACCUACCCGCCACCCACCCACCCAUGAACUUAUACCUCUGCUCUUCUCCUUCAAGUGUUUCAACACAAAAACUAAGUCCAAAUUUGAGUCACCAAAAUCCUUCAUUUGAUUUGAGUACAAUUUGGGAGAUUUAAAGAAAAUGUCCCUUACUGAUUCAGUGCAGAACAAGCAGCUUGGUGUCAUCACCUGUAAAGGUUGCAUCUUUGAAUACCGUUUAUUUUUUUUAUUUUUUUUUCACUUUCUUCUUCUCUCUUGAUCAAGAAUCUGAUUUUGAAUGAACCCCAUUUUGAGUUACAUGUGUGUAUCCAUUCCAUUCAGCUGCUGUGGCAUGGGGACCGGGAGAACCAAUGGUGAUAGAGGAGGUGGAAUUGAGUCCACCUCAGUCAAUGGAGAUUCGUGUUAAGGUUGUCUGUACUUCUCUCUGUCGUAGCGAUGUCACUGCUUGGUUGUCACAGGUUUGAUCUUUACUUGAUCUCAAAUUUUUUCCCAGUAGGUCAACUGUCUGUUGCCAAUUUUAGGAUUGCAUAUACUAGGUGUUACUUAAAUGUCAAUAGAAAAAUGCUGGACUGGGACUGUUGUAACCUGUCGUUUCAUGAGCAUAGAAGGAAAUUUUAUGCUAUUGAAGUUUUAAAAUUUGUUGAUCAUGAUAAAGAGGAACUAUUUCUGCAAAUAUAAUAUUGGGUGCUCAAUAUGGGGAACUUGGACUUCAUUUUUUUUGAUGACCAUGGUGUCCGGCCAGCUUGCUUGCACCUCGACUAUUCUUCGGGAUGCCUUCCACCUCGUACUAGCAACAUGUACUAGAUAACUCUGUCCACGAAGGCCAGGACAAGUGUGAAGAAUCACCUACUGGAGACGAUCUGCUUUCUUAGAGAUAUAGUGAGGGUCUUAGCUUAGAAAACUAGCAAACUUAUCAAGAUAGCAGUUUCAUCUGAAUCUCAAUUGGGUUUGUGGAGAAAAUAGUUUGAUUCAAUCUCAUUGUGGGUUUUCCAAAGUAAAAUCCUGAAGUUUUAGGGGGUGGAGGGUAGAUGAGGGCAUGUAAAACAGUAAAGGCUCAAUCUUGGCCACUAUUUUCACUUUAUCUACUCUUUUUUCUCAUUUUGGCAAGUUUUGUACUUCUUUUCUGAGGAGCCCACCAGAAUUACUUUCUUAUUAUUCACGCCCGUUAGUGAAAUUUGUUGUCGUUUUCCAGGCUCAGGCUUCUAUAUAUCCUCGGAUAUUUGGUCAUGAAGCAUCAGGGUCAGUUUUCUAUACCUGCUCCUUCUAUUUGAAUGAUAAUGCUUCUUGUGUGUAAUUUAAGUAUGUAUCCUGCUUCUGAUAGAAGUUAUUAAAUGCAUACUGAAAAUUUUUAGAGAUAAUUCAGAGUUUUGGUACAUGUCUUGAGGUGGUGAUGCUUCUCCCCAAGGGACUAACGAUUACGUUGUGAGAAAGUAUAAAUGUAACUUUGUGUUGGAGUUGUCAGUUUGUCAAACAUGUAAUGCUUUCAUCUCGCGGUUUCAUCACCCUAAGUGUCUUCAUUGACCGACUCAUCAGAUGCUCUGUCCAUAAGAAAAGCAUUCUAUCAUAGACUGUGGCAUCACUUAGUGUACUCCAUAGAGUAAAAUGAACAUACUGCAAACUUCUGUGGCCACCUUGGAGUGCAACAGACGUGGUUGAUGGAUUUAAUAUUUUGUCAUUUCUGAACAGAGAAUCAAGCUUCAUUCUUGUUACUCAUUUUGCAGGAUUGUUGAGAGUGUUGGGGAAGGAGUGACUGAAUUUGUAGAAGGGGACCACGUGCUUACCUUAUUUACUGGGGAAUGCAGGAGUUGCAGACACUGUACCUCAGGCAAAAGCAACAUUUGCCAAAUUCUUGGAUUGAAACGAGAUGGUGUUAUGCAUGGUGAUCAAAAGACGCGGUUCUCUAUAAAAGGAAAGCCAGUUUAUCAUUAUUGUGCUGUUUCAAGUUUUAGUGAAUACACAAUUGUACACUCCGGUUGUGCGGUCAAGGUUAGCCCGAUUGCGCCUUUGGAUAAAAUCUGCCUUCUUAGUUGUGGAGCGGCAGCAGGUAAUUUGUGGAAUGCUGUUCAAUUCAAUCACAGCUGAUCUUUUUAUACUACUUUAUUACUCUUAAGAUUAUUUUGCUGUUAAAAACUCUUGACCCAAUGAUGGAAUUUGGCUACCCUUUCUGAUGGAAAUUGUUUUCUUCAAUUCCUCAUCAUACAUGUAUGGUUUUACUGAACUAUACUAAACUCAUUCACAUCAAAGAGGAUCUUUUUGAGAUGAACAACUAGUAUUCAACUUACUUUUGUUUGAUCAAGAGUAUUCUUACUUGAUGGCAUCAUAGACAGUCUUAACGUUUAAAAUGUUUCUGUCAAAAGGUUAAAUCCUUCCUUAGCUCUUAGAUGUUACAUUCAUUCUUAACAUAUUUAUACUUGUAUAACUUGGCAAUCCAUAAUGUUAACUUGUUGUUCAGAACAUUCCAAAUGUAAGGACCUCAUAAUUGAAAUGCAAUUAUCAGGUCUGGGUGCUGCUUGGAAGGUUGCAAACGUCUCUGAAGGAUCAAAGGUGGUCAUUUUUGGUCUUGGGACUGUAGGACUUUCUGUAAGUACAUUGAUCCAAGCUGAAGAAUUAGCAUAAUAUGGGAAAACUGUUUACCUGGAAAAACUUGACAAUGAUAAAUAAUAAAUGCUUAGAUAUCGUGUAAAUAGGUUGCACAAGGUGCUAAGAUGCGGGGAGCAUCUCAGAUUAUUGGUGUGGAUAUGAGGCAAGAGAAAUGCGAAAAAGGUAUCACAUGACAGACCUUUUACAGCAGUUGGAAAGUUGAAAAGUUUCCCGAGAUUAUUGAUGUUCUUCCCUUCCUGUGCAGCAAAGUCUUUUGGAGUGACGGACUUUUUGAACCCAAAUGAUUCUGACGAACCCAUUCCACAGGUGUUUUACUUUUCAUGAAAUAUACAACAAAAGCUUGUAAAUUAGUUUCUUUCUCCCAGCUAAUUAGUCACAAGUCUUACCAAUCAUGUUAGCUGUCUUGAACAACAUGGGAGCAUUACAACAACAGUUUCUACAUCUCAGUAUCACGCUAGUUAGGCCGACAAUAUGAAUUUUCAUAACCCAAUUUUCUGUGUUUGGAUAUGUUUCGUUGAAAUACACAAUGAUUUCUGGAUUAUCUAAUGCUAGAAGUUUUCUGCAUUUUCUAAUUUCUAUAUGGUGCAAUCUCCAAACAGAUUAAAAAGACUUGUAGCAAAUAGUAGACCUAAUAUAAGUUUUACCAAUAUGAUUAAUCUCUAAUCCAACUAGUUGGUAUCGCCUAUAUGGGUCUUUUGCUUCCUUAAAGACUACAUUUGAGUGGCCGUUGGUCUAUAAAGACAAUUUCCUUCUAGGUGGUCUUAGGUCUGCUUGAUGAGAAGAGAGAAAUUAGUUCCAUUAUCAAGUGCAAGACGCCUCUCUCUAACCCAAAUCGACCUAGACUAAUACUCUCCCUUUUUAACUCCUGGUACCAUACUUACAGAUUGGUACACUGGAGAUCAACAUAGUACACGAUCAGAUCAUCCUCUGCGUGUGCUACUUGCACAUUCACUGGAUGUGAUAAUUGUUUUCAAUCUUAUAUGAACACAUUUCCAUAUAAACAUCUGCUUUGUACAGCACUCAUUUUAUGGAGGGUUGGCCAUUAGAGACCCAGCAUUCACUCUUCUUUAAAUUGCUGGUCUUACUGAUGUUCUGUUAAACUUUGUCUCUCAUUUUGAGAAGUAUGUUCGCAUUGCAUAACACUUCUGUAGUACUCCUCAAUUUCAACAUCAUAUUUUAAUCUAAUGUUUUAUAUCUUCGUCUAUUGCACCAUUCACUUAAACCAUUGAGCUUAUAUUUGAAUUGUCUCAAUUUAUGUACUGCAAUCCCGUCUAACCUCACCUCAAUCUCGUCCUUCUUGUAAGGGAUAAAUCUGUAGAGUACUUUUUAAAUAGCAUACAAAAUGGACUAGUUCUAUUCAUGUUCAGGUUGUGUGUUUCCUUCUAUAAACUCCGGAUACAUUUUUCACUCCAGGUUAUAAAUCGCCUAACUGGUGGAGGUGCAGACUAUGCAUUUGAAUGUAUUGGAGAUACAGGAAUGGUUACCACUGCUUUACAGUCGUGUUGUGAUGUAAGUAUGAAGACUUCAUUUCAUGUACUCUUCGGUAUUCUCAGACAUACAUUUCUCUCUUUUUACCAUCAACUUUGUGUCGUCUCCUGUUUGUGUUAGGGAUGGGGCUUGACUGUCACACUUGGAGUACCCAAGCAGAAGCCGGAGGUAACAGCUCAUUUUGGACUUCUUCUUAACGGUAGAACAUUGACAGGAUCUCUAUUUGGAGGAUGGAAACCGAAGUCUGAAAUUCCUUCAUUAGUUGAAAUGUACCUAAAGAAGGUAGAUUGUUGCACUGGUUUUCACAACUUGAUGAAAAACCUUAAAACAACGCAUUCAUUUACUCCAAACGACUCUUCAACAUUUGAAUACUAAGCCAUUGUGAGGUUUUGCUUGCAGGAAAUCGAGUUAGAUGACUUGAUCACACACAAUCUGCCCUUCGAGGACAUAAACACAGCUUUCGAUCUGAUGAAAAAUGGGACUUGUUUGCGUUGCGUUAUACACAUGCCUGAAAUAGAAGGUUUUCCAAUGGCUGGCAACUAGUUGAAGUUAUUUCAUGCUUUCUGUUACCCCAAACUAUAAAUAGCCAACCACAAUGAACUACCAGAAAAUUUUGAUGUUGUACUAUAGUGUAUCACCGAGCGUCUUUCGAAAACAAGCUCUCUACCUCCACGAGGUAAUGAUAAGGUCUUGCGUACACUCUACUCUCUCUGUACCCCACCUAGUGGGAUUUUACGGGGCAUUUGUUGUUAUAGUAUAGUAUAAGAAAUCAUUUUCCUACCUUCUGUUAUUUUUUGAGAGGACAAUUUAUAAUAUCAAAAUGCAUUGACUGGUGAGAAUUGAAAUGCAAUUAUAUGAUCUCGACCAUAUAAUAUACCAAGUACACUUUUUUUGGUUCAUAAUAAAAGUGGAUUUUUCUAUCGAUAAUUUAUUUCAUUAUAAAAAACUUUGGAUGAACAACUUUAGAGUGAUUGAUGUGUCCACAAGAAUUACCAAACACACGAAAUAAGUCUGCAAAGUGCAAUUCUCAAGGAUACAAAAAGAAGUAUGAAGUUUGUGAGAUUGUAGCAAAUCUUUAGGGUGUUUCAACUUUUGGUUAAGAAUAAAUCUAAAUCAACCGUAUCAAUUAAAUAAAUUGAUUUUGUUUUAAUUUGAUUUUAAACUUUAAAAAAUUGAUAACAUUCUCUUUUAUUUCAUAAAAAAUAAACUCAAUAAAAAAUUAAAAAUCAAACCAAACUAAUAAAUAUAUAUAUAUAUAUAAUUUAUUAGCAAAUACAUAUAAAUCCAACUAGCUUCAACUUUUCUCUCUUUGAUACUCUCUGCAGAAGCUGCGAGCAUUUUCCAUAGUGAUUUUGAGUUCGAAUUGGAGAAAUAGUUUUAAAAUAUAUCGUCAAUGUCGACGGAGGAGGAAAACGCCAUUGAGGCGGCGGCAGCGGCGCGAAGGGAGAGGCUGAGAGCCCUCAGAGAAGCUCAAGAACUUCUUCAAACCCCUGACGAUGAUGGUAACAAGACUAAAGAAGAGGAAGACGAAAAGUAAGCACUACCCGUUUGUUUAUCCCUUUAUUCUUAGUUAAUUUGAUGUUAAUUGAAAAGUUGAUGUUACCGUCGAUUCUGUGUUCUGCAAAGAUACCUUGCAUUCUAGCUUUUUAGUCUGUAAGAGACAAAUCCUCUCGUAUUGGACCCGAAUAGGGGUUUGAAGCCCUAGCUCACUUGUUGAGCUCUAGGUCUCCGCAGUUGUGGUGGAAGCCUCCCCACCCCUCCGCUGAAGUAAUUUUAGAAACAAUAGACCUGAAUAGAGCAGAAUGGAGAGGUUUCAAGUCCCUCCUUUUGCUUCUGGCUUUGUAUUUAGUGAUAACAAUUCCAGUGCAUAAGCUACUUUAUAGAUAGGGUGAACAGCAAGGAGCCCACUUACAGGAAACUAAAUCUGUCUGACUAAUAUGUGGAAAGGGCAAGCGAAAACUGACUUCUGAACCAAGGGUAUAUCGGAAACGGACUUCUGCUCCACAGAGGUAGGGGUAAGGUCUAUGUACAGUCUUACACCCAUCCUCCACAGAUCCCAUUUGUGAGAUCUCAUUGAGUAUAUUGUUGUAGUGUACUUAUGAAUAGAGCAGGCGAAUUGAGUUUACCAAAAAUUGACUCAGGACUAGUUUUGGCAUAAUAUUGAUUGGUUGAUAUAUAUUACAGUGAUGUCCAAAUGAAGUUCCGCAAUUACCUGCCACAUGACAAGCAGCUUCAAGAAGGCAAAGUCACUCCGCCAGUACUUCCAAAGUUCGAAGAUCCUAUUGCGACUCUACCUCCUCCCGAAGAGAAGAAAGAGGUGCUUCAGUGAUUGCACUAUUUAUUUCCUUCUGUUUUCUUCCUCAUUCAUAUUAGUUGUGUUUACUGUCAUGACUUUUCUUUGGUUGAAUUUUAUCAGGAUCCAUUUCUAAAUAUUGUCCCCAAGAAGCCAAAUUGGGACCUGCGACGGGAUGUGCAAAAGAAACUUGACAAGCUUGAGAAACGUACCAUGAAGGCACUCACUCAACUUAUGGGUACGUCUUUUCUGCUCAUUUUGUGUUAUUUGACUCUCAAGUAUGUAAUGGCCAUGUUCCAUAGCAUUUAAUUUUUUUUGGUUAAGUCUUGUCCCAUAGAAUUUGUUAAAAGUAAUUUAAAUUGAAAAAGGAAAAUCAUGUGAUUACAUUUUCAUCUCUUGAAGAAGUCUUAGCUGAGAUUGUUCCUUGAGUUUGUUCCUUGUACUUCUGUUGUUUGUAAGAGUAAGAACAUCUGACUGGACAUGACACAAAUAACUAUUUCAAUAUAUAUCUUCCUUCAUAAAAAACUCUCAUGAUGGCCCAUUUGUACUCCCAGUAGGUUUACUUGCAGCGGUUGGGACUUUGCUUUGGCAAGCUAUUAAAUGCACCACUUGGAUGCUCCUUUGUGAAUUGAGAGAACUCCAGUAGCACUGAUCUGUGAAGUUGUUCUGACAGUAGACUCUUAAUAAACAUUACAUACAGAAAUAAAUAUGGAAUAGGAGUGACAUGCUCUUAUAGCUAUACGUAUGUCAUGACAUAUUUACGUGCACAAGUUUUAAGGAUACCUGUGCUAUGUUAUGUAUAUUCAACUUAUGUGUCAAAAGUCUAUUUUUUCUUAAACUCCAUUCUCAAUUAAACACUUGAGGAGUAUGUCUUUUCAAUUUUUAUUUUUUUUUAGAAAUUUGGUGUCUUUUCAAUUUUUAUUUUUUUUUAGAAAUUUGGUAUAGCUAUAAAUUUAUCCGGAAAUCUAACAAUGGUUCAAGUAAGUUCGGUUCAAUAGGCUUGGCCAGUUUCUAAAGUUUUUUUAACGUUCCUAGGUAGUGCUGCAUAUGGUUACUCCGUAUUUUUUAGUCUUUUGGCUCCUUCAAUGUUGGUCAUUAUGGUUCCCUCUAUAUUGAUGACACUUUCUGUGUUGAUCCACUUUUGAUUCACCUCCGUUGUGCUCGGCUAUUUUCAAUCAGUGUCUAUAAUGCAGCCUUUUGGUGCUCUGAAUCUUGAAAAUGGGCUACGCCUUUGGUCCCACAUAUUUUUCUAGGGUUAUAGCUCAUUAGGUAACUGUGGAUCAUUUAGUAAGAUCUUCUUCUAAUCAAAUUGGGUUUCCUUGGAGCCUUUCUCUUCUAAGCCUGGUUGUGAGUUGUGACCCCCCUAAUUGUUUCCAAGUUAUAUAGCUUAUUUUUUUAUGAAUAAAAGUAAUUUAUUACUAAUAUCUUAGUACCAAGGUGGUACUAAGCGAGUACAAAAAGAAAGCUGGAUAGAAUCCUUAGUAGCCGCAAGGAUUCCCAGAAAAUCAGCUUCAGUGCAAGAAAAUGUAACUAUUAACACAAACAAUAAUCUUUUAAACAAAAGAAUAGAGAAAGCUAUAGUUAAGUUGUACUCAUCAAAUCAUGUCAAUCAAGCUAGAAAAAUAUUUUAAGGAAUGUUGAUCUAUAUUUUAAAGUAUUUUUUUGCUAGUCCUAAUCUCUGAUGUUUAGUCAUAACGAUUUCUUAACCAUUAAUGUAUCACUUUGUUUUAUAUUACUACAUAGUUAUGAGCUCUUAAUGACAUAGCCCAUCAGUGAAGGGCCAAAGAAAUGCAUUCUUUGCUCAACCUAGACUUAGUGAGAUUUAUGGCGUAAACAUGCUUUAAGCGGGCCUUUCAGCAAUAUUGUCUGCAAGUGAUCCCGAUGAUAGCAAAAAGAUAGCAAAAAGAAUAAUUGUGGCAUUAAUUUUGCACUCCACGUUCUGCCAAUACAUCUUAUUCUUUAGCACCUGUGGAGGGUUGAAUACCUAUCACUACGUUUUUAGGCAAGUCAGCUUUCUACUUAAAGUCUAGCAAACAUUUGGCCUAGAUUGAAGUGCUGUAGUUGUAUCAGACAAGAGUGCAUGUCCAGUUGGAGCCACUAUUGACUUUAGAGAUGCCAUAUGAAACCAAUACAGAAUUAACAUUGUCUAAUCCAAAUAAUUCUGGAAUACUCUCCCUUGCUUUACUUAAUUCCUUUGUAUAUUAAAAGUUAAAGGGGAAUCUUAGUAUUCUAGUUGAGUGGGUCGUAGGGGUCGAUCCCUACUUUGUAAUCCCAUCCCAGAUUUCCCCAUUCCCCUGUGCAAUUUUCUUAAAAACAAAAGUGUGAUCAAGAAAAUGCAUUUGGCAGCCCCCAAGGCCUAGCUCGAGUGGCAAAAGUGGAGGAUUUGUGGCUUAGGUAGCAGGUUCAAGCCCCACAAAAUGCAAAGUGAAGUCCGGUAUUUAAGUGGAGAAGGGUAGAGCGGUGGGUUCAUUAUCCACCGAGUUUAGAAGGCUGUGAUUGAUCCAAAGGACGGGUGAUAGACGGAUUUCUCGGUUAUAAAAAAAAUGCAUCUUUGGCAGAUUAUGGAAUAGUUCUCUUGAGAAUCCAACCUGGAAUGCUUUUAAUCUUAUCUUGAUCUUUUACCUAGGUUUGAAGGUCUAUUUAUUCUUUUUCUUUUUUAAAUGAAUAAGAUUGAAGCAUAUUAUUUUAUUGAUUUUGAGGCAAUUGUUUCAUGUGUUAGUUUUGUCCCAGCUACCCAACUUCGAAUUUUUCUUGACUUGUCUACAUUGAUAUUUUGUAGAGGAAGAAGAAAAGAAGAGGAAAAUAGCUGAAGAAGAGGAUACUGAAAAUGGUGGAGAUUAGAUAGAUCUUCACCAAUAAUACAAUACAUUGUGGUUUUGGACAAGUGCUGUAUGAGUAUUAUAUUUAUUACAUCUAGUCUUUUUGACUGUGAGACGUUGUAGCGAGUGUUGUUAAAAAUAUGAAUACAGGUUAAAUGUCCAGAAUAUAUUCGUAAACUUUUGCCAAAUACGAGAAUCAUCUGAUCUUUUUUAUAUACUGAUUAUACUAAGAGAAAAUAAACUAGCCUCUCAACAUUUGUAGAUGCUGAGAAUUGUAUGCUUCGCCCCCGUUGGGACACUUAUUAUGUCCUUUUGGUUCCCCUCGAAGAAAUAGCUUAUGUACAUACUAGGUAAAUACUUACUGACCUUGACCAACAUGGUAGUAUCAUUCACGACUUAUUUUAGUUAAGACUAAAGUUUGAACAACUCUUUUAUUAUUCAAAUUGACGAUAUCCAUAGGCUCUUGAUUAGCCAAACUAAUCAUAAACUUCCUAAAUAGGCAGAUGAAGAGAAGUGGAAACCAUUUUUGGCUUCCGUUCAAAGGAAAACAAAAAGAAUGGGGGAGUUUGUCAGACAGCCAUGAGACCAUCUUAGGCUUGAGAUCAGGUCUAAGAACGAUCAUCUACUGCAACCAACCACAACUUGAGGAGCCAUGGAUGACUGUUAAUCACGCUCUGGUCACAUGGCAGAUGAAGAGAAGUGGAAACCAUUUUUGGCUUCCGUUCAAAUGGAAAACAAAAAGACAGCCAUGAGACCAUCUUAGGCUCGAGAUCAGGUGUAAGAACGAUCAUCUACUGCAACCACAGCUCAAGGAGCCAUGAAUGACUGUUAAUCACGCUCUGAUCACAUGGCAGAUGAAGAGAAGUGGGCUUCCGUUCAAAAGGAAAACAAAAAAAAUGAGAGAGUCUGUCAGACAGCCAUGAGACCAUCUUAGGUCUGAAAUUAGGGUCUAAGAACGAUCAUCUACUGUAACCACAGCUCGAGAAACCAUGGAUAGCUGUUAAUCACGCUCUGGUCACAUGGCAGAUGAAGAGAAGUGGGCUUCCGUUCAAAAGGAAAACAACAGCUCGAGAAACCAUGGAUAGCUGUUAAUCACGCUCUGGUCACAUGGCAGAUGAAGAGAAGUGGGCUUCCGUUCAAAAGGAAAACAAAAAAAAUGAGAGAGUCUGUCAGACAGCCAUGAGACCAUCUUAGGCCUGAGAUUAAGGGUCUAAGAACGAUCAUCUACUGUAACCACAGCUCGAGAAACCAUGGAUAGCUGUUAAUCACGCUCUGGUCACAUGGCCAUGCUUCAUCAACCAGACUUGGAUUCCUGUCUCCUUAGAAUUCAAGGAUACAAUGGUACGAGCCUAUAGAACAGAUCCUGUUCAAGUAAGGUCGUGACCGUUGAUAGUGGAUAGAUUCUUAUAACGCUAGAGUUUAUGUGCUGCACUGCCGAUGUGGGAACAAUAUAUUGGCCCCUGACACACCUACGCCGACUACAACGCAAUAUCUCUAAGGCUAAAGUGCAAUUAAAGUAAUAAAAUUUAUGUCGUAUUUCAGUUUUUUAUUUGUUAUAGAAAAAAUAACAAUUACGCAUUAAUUUAUAUUUUUAACGUGUGGACAGUUAAUUUCGUAGAAACCGUUCCAAUUCCCAGUAGGAAAAACUCCAUAGCAGUUGCCAUGAACUCCAUAAUAAUUCACUUGUAAAGUUUCAUAGUUUCUCAUUCAAUUCAAUCUUCAGUAGAGUCUGAAAAUAAUGGCUCCAAUCAAAGUGACAGUAAGUAAUUCAGAGGAACGCCACACAAUGCUCUCAGAGUAUAUAAAAUCAAUAGCAUUCAAGAAACAACAGAUAACAAAAGUAUUCCAAAAGGGGGAUAAAAUUGAAGUGGCAAGUCAAGUAUAUGGCUUCGUAGGUUCUUACUACGAAGCAACUAUUGUUUCUUCAAUUGGCGCUUACCAUUACAAAAUCAAGUACAAGAAUCUGUUGACUGAUGAUGAAUCUGCACCACUGGAAGAGAUGUUCACUUCAGCCGCGAUCCGCCCUGUUCCGCCUCAUCGAGAUGAAACAAUGUCAGAAAACGGAUUCCGUCUGUACGAUAUGGUUGAUGUGUUUGCCAACGAUGGAUGGUGGUUUGGAUUUAUCAGUGGGAAAAUCGGAGAAGAGCACUAUGUCUACUUCCCUACAACUGCAGAUAACAUUGCAUACCCUCGCGAUGUAUUGAGAUUUCAUCAAGAAUGGUCUAAUGGCAAGUGGAUAUUUCUUCCAAGACCAUGAAAGAUUUUCGAUUUGCACUGAUCAUGAUUUACAGUAAUGUGAUAUGAAGUUACUGAAUCUUUCUCCUUUAUGUUAAGAAGAAUAAUUCAAGUUUAGUCCCAAAAGAUUUCUAUUGAGGAAAUAGUGGAUGAAAUAUUUUGUAGUUUAUAGUGAGAAACAAGAAUCUAUGAUUUGUUACUUUGUUUUUAGCCUUGAAUUGAGCUAGGGAUGCAUUUAUGCUCAAGAAUUUAGUUAUAAGGUACUCUCUAUCCCUAUUUAUUUGUCUAUAUUUCUUUUUAUAUAUGUCCAUAUUUACUUGUCCAUUUUAACAAAUCAAGAAAACACAACAAUUUUUUUCCUAAUAUGUCCUUAUUUAAUUCUAGAAAAUUUCUAGUACUACUAAGUUUUAAUAUGCUUUUUUGGAACCAGAAAAUAUAUUUAUUAUACUUGAGGAAUUGCAUAAUUUUUCAAAUUAAAGAUAAAAUUAUAAUGAACCUAUGAUAAUAAUUGAUGCCUUAAUGUGCGUGACAUUUCUAAAGUGAAUAACGAAAUAGGAACAGAGGGAAUAGUUCAUAAGCGAGUAUAACUAGCCCCUUAAUAUUAGUAGAUGCUGAAAAUUGUAUGCUUGGACCUGUUGAGAUACAUUGCAUGUCCUUUUGGUUCAUCUCAGCUAAAUAUUUGCUCGCUAUACUGACCUUGACCAACAUGAUAGUAUCAUCACUAUUUCUCUAACUCCGUUAAAAGUCGAGUAUCAUCACGAGCACGAGAACAAAAAGAAGAUGAGUCUGUCAGACAGCCAUGGGACCAUCCUGGGCCUGAAAUCAGAUCCAAGAACGAUCAUCUACUGCAACCAGAGCUGAGAAACCAUGGAUAGCUGUUAAUCACGCUCUGGUCACAUGGCCAUGCUUCAUCAACCAGACUUGAAUUCCUGUCUCCUUAGAAAUCAAGGAUACAAUGGUACGAGCCUAUAGAACAGAUCCUGUUCAAGU